GAAAUUUCUAGUCUUAAUUAACAGAAAAAAAAAAGACAGAAUAAUCUGAAUUUAUUCGCCGUUUCUAAUAACAAAUCACGCUUUCCACAUUAUUCAGCAUUGGAAUCACACUAACAAGAAUAGGCCAACCCCUACUAGAGCAAGAGCACGAGUAAACAUUCAAAAGCACCCAACCACUCACCACUCUCAUAGUGAGAGAACCGCCUCUGGAUGGCGCGUAGGGUUUCGAAAUCGUCCUCCUCGUCCGAAUCCGACUGCGGGAGGAUGCUCAGGGGCUUGACGAAGGGGAGCGACUCCGAGGCCCCCGCCGCGGCGGAGGGCACCGAGAACCGCUCCUGGAGGCGGCGGAGGAGGCCGAGGUCGUCGGAGUCGCUGCUCUCGCCCCCGGAGUCGGAGUCGGAGCCGCCGAGGGCGUCGGCGGGGUCGGCACCGGUGAGCAUGCACGCCCGGCGCAGAGCCUCCAUGUCCUCGUCGAGGGCGUCGUCUCGGUCGCUGUCGGAAGAAGCGUACGACGCCAUGGAGGAGAGGGAACGAGAGAUCGGGUUUAGGGUUAGGGUUUGGUUGUUGCGGGGAGAGAGAGGGAGAGAGAGGGGGGAGUGGCGAGGGCGAGGGAGAGGAGGCUCUCGGGCACAUAAAAGCGCACGAAGAAGCGCCGUGCGAAGGAGAACGAUGCUCCGUGCUCCGUUACGCUUCUCGGUUUAUAUAUAGAGAGCAUAAACGAUCAAAUAAAAAAUAAAUAAAUAAAUAAUUUUCAAUUUUCAAUUUUCAAUUUUUCAAUUUUAAAAUUUAAAAUUUUGACUAUGUUCUCAACAAAAUUAAAUAAAAUCCAAAAUCUGUGUUGAUUUGUCGUUUACGUUAGUUUAAUUUUGCAAAACAAAAAAAAAGGUGAAAAUAUUUAAAAAAACUCACAUAAAGUAUAGAAUAUUUAAAUUUUACUAUAUAAUCGUUCAAAUUUUUGAUUUUAAUGCUUAAUUUUUUAAUUUAUUUGAUUUAGUUUGUUUGAUGACUCUCCAUAUAAUAGUUGCAUUAAUACAAAAAAAAAUAUUAAUUAAAUCUGAAAAAAUAAACUACUGAUUUAAAUUUUAAAGUUAAAAAGCCAAUACUUGACUUAUAUUAAAUAAAUUAAAAUAUUAUAUAGCAAAAUCAAAAAUUUAAAAGCUAGAUAGCCAUGAUACAUCUAACGCACUUUCUCACUGCAUAUAAUAUAAUCUCUUCAUAAGAGAAUUUAACUGUGGGUGUUUAUUUAAAAUAACUGGAAAUAUAAAAAAGGUAUUUUAAUAUUAGCUUUUUAAGAAAAAUAAAUCAAAAAAUCGAAAAUUUUUUAAGGACAUAAGCAAUUGCCCCUAAUUUAAUUUAUCUUAAUAAACAACUACAUAAGAGUCCGCAAAACGAGAAAAAAAGAAAAAAUUUCAAAAACCAUCCUUGUGAUUUUACAUUUUUUUACUUUAAUAUCUUAUGAUUUAAACUGUAUCAAUUUAAUGUCCUGUGCUUUUAUUUUUAUUUUUUUAUUAUCGAUUAUCGGUUAUCGAUUCUACUAAUUUUUUUUCGUUAAAUAAAUAAUAAUAUUAAAAUUAAAAAAUACUAAAGUAAAUAUUCCCUAAAUUUAAAGUAACAUAUCCGAAAAUUUUUGUAUAUUAAUAAAAAAAAUGAUGAAAAGAUAAAAAUAAAAUUACAAAACAUUAAUUUGAUAUAUGCGAAACCACGGGAUGGUAUUUGAAUUUUGAAGUGAACCCAAAAAACAAAAAAUGUAAUUCCCUGUCUCCACGAUCGAACCAAAUCGCCAUGGAAGAGCUUCGUCUCCUCGCUCCCAUUCCUUCUCCUCCAACGACGACGACGAGAGAAGCUGCUUCAUCUACACUUCGUUUCCCUUACCUCUGCGCGAUUACUACUGCGAAUUCAAUCCCUUUUACGUAGCUCGCUCUUCUUCUUCGUGUUCUGAAGCAAAUGCGGUGAGUCGAUCAUGGCGUUUUAUAUAUAUAUUUUUUCGAUCUCUUUGAUUUGUAUGCUUUUUAUAUGAUGUUCAUUUGAUGAUGAUGAUAUCAAUAAUAGCUUCGAUUUGUAGUCGAACGAGCUAUAACAAGGUUUUUAAAAAAAAUGAAAAGAGAGAGAGAGCAUGGAGAUCCCCUCAACUAUAGGGCAUUUAUAAAUAGGACCUUUUAAUUGUUUUGGUUUGAGUUAUUUUCCUUAAUUGAAUUGGUAUUCGAAGGAAUUAAUUGUUCAAUAUCUAUUCAUCAUCAAUAGUUAAUCAAAUUUGCAAUUCCGUUAGCUAAAAGAGUGUUCUAUUUGUUCAAUUUGUCAGGAUCACAGUUUAAUUUCACAAAUUUUUGUAUUUGAGUGAUGCAAAUGGCUUAAAUCUAAAUAAUCCUGUGCAUUUUUUCCUUGUGAGAGAUAAAAUUUCAAUGGUUUGUUCCUUUCCAGGGUUAGAGUCACUUAGGAUUACUGAUAACAUGAUGUUUAAUUCUCUUGCAUAUUUCACACCACAUCCAAAGGUAUUGAUCUUUUUUUGUUUAUCUUUUGUUUUUUUGGAUUGUUAAAUAAGCAUAGAAGAGAUACAAAAUGAAUAUAAUUCUAAGGUUUGAACAAAUUACAAGGUCUAAUGCCAGAGACUUUCAAUAGCUCUUGUUGAAUUCGCUUAUUUGCAAACAGAGAGGCUUCUUCAUUCACCUCCUCUCUAUUUCUUUUCUUUUUUUGGUCAAUCUCAUGCGACAUUGAAGGAAUUGGCCGUGCUCUCGACAAAUUUCCUGGCUCCCUUGAACCAUCUCUUGUCGCCGGCUUGUGCUUUGCAUAUGUAGAGCUUCCCAUCAGAAACCGUUGCUGUGAUGAGCUGGUGCUUCCCGCCCUCGUCCCCGUCGGCCGUCCUUGUCAGGACCGAGAGGAAGUAGUAUUGCUUCCCGCCCACCACCGGGGUCGAGGUUUCUAGUAUGUUCGCUGUUGCUACCGCGUCGGGGUCGAAUCCACCCUAUCGGAAUUCAUUGGUUUAGAUUUACGUAACACGAACGAUGGCGAUAAACAGUUAAUAGAGAUCAGUAAAUUGAUGAUCUUCAAUGUACCUCAGCAUCUGUUUUCCCAGAGUAAGCUUGUUUUCCUAGCAAGUAAUCAACCUGCAUUAGAAGUAGUCAUACUUGUCAAGUUUAUACAAUUUAUGACAAAGAUUUGCAGCCCAAGAAGAUCACUAAUCUUAGCAUUGAGCCUGACUAGUAUAGCAUUGUUAUCAAAACACCGAUCCUAAUACAAUAAUCUUUGGAAUGGUUUGUGGGGGGUUAGUGUGAUUGUUUACUUUUGAGAGGAACUCCUCGGGGGAGCCGUAGUCGGUAAUGGACUUCUUGUCGGUGGGGGUAACCAUGACGGCGACAUUGCUGGUGGUGUCGAAGUUGUCCUCGUACCUCAGCACCUGUCCCGGGUACUCCACCUCCUUGCUCGGGUUCCACUUCGACGGGAUCAACAGCUUGAACCCAUCCCCAUUGUACGGCAAGAAGUCCGUGUUCGUCUUCGGCUUCCCGAAGACGUUUGCUGCGCCCAGAUAAUAUAUGCUCAGUGUUUUUAGAUGGGUAUGAAAAUCAGAAACUUUGUUUGCUCUAGUGUUUUUUCUUUCCUUCGCAUUUCACCUCAAUUUAUCUUCAAGUUAUCUGUAGAAUUGUUUAGUUUACGAGAUAAGGGGAAAAACUGUAAUGAAAAUAAAUGAUGAGACCUUUGAGAAAAAAAAAAACAUUUGCACCUUUUCUUACUCUUUCUUGUUAACUCAGCUCUGUAAAAACAGUUGAUCAUGCAAAUGUAAAGCUUUUAUUCUUUACUUGUUCUUUAUUUUACCUUAAUUGUUCUGUGCAACUUCUUUUGAACAUAUAAUGCUUUAACUAGAGGAUGAUACUGGUUAUGAUCUUUUGGUAUCUGAGAGCUUUCCUUUGUUCUACUUAUAUAUAAUUUGAGAGUGUUAGAUUACUAAGAUUACCAGCUUCUCCGUAGGCUGCAUCGGCCGGCGACACCUUUGUGCCGAGGGCGGCGGAUCCGAGGAGGAUGGUGAGAGCGAGGCGGCGAGAGAUUGCGGCCUCGUUCUCGCCCUCAACCCCCGCCUGCUGCUUCUGAGCUCUGCAGACCAGCUGGGCCGGCCUGGCGCUCUGCCCUGCGCGCUGCAACAGCGCGUGGGCGGCAGACGGCACGUGGUGGUGGAGGAAGCAAGCAGUGGAGGCCAUCUCUCUCUCUGUAACUUCUCUCUGCCUCUCUCUCCUCUUUCUCACUUGCUCUCUAAGUUGGCUUUGAGUCUAAGGGGUUGUAUGGGUUAUUGUUGUGGUAUGUGUUGUUGAUGUGUGGAGGGGGAGUGGAUUUUGUGUGGAUAGUGUGUGGAUGUGGUGAUUGGAUGAUGUUCAGAUUAUUGGAUAGGGUUUGCUGAGAUCUGAUUGGGCCACGUAGGACUGUAAUGUUCUCUCAUCCUCUCUCUAGAAUGAUAUGUUUCUAUGCUGCUGCUACUGCUGUUACCUAGUUUUGUUGCUGCACAUGUAUUAUUCAUUUCAAUAAUAAUUUAACCCUACAUGAAUGAUUAGUUCCACAUGUUGUUUUAUUUUCCUCCCUCAAUUUUUUUGCCUCACUAAUUUUCCAGGGUCAAAUUAAUGGUUACUCACUGUACUAUCAUCUAUGCUUAAAUAUUUUAGUACUUAAAUUGUUGUAGAUAUUGUAUGUUUCUUUCCAAUCAUAAGAAGAAACAUACAAUUCGUCCUUGUUUUCUCAAGAAGCCCAAGUGUUUCAAUUUGGUAGUAAUUAAGAUAUAUUAUGGUAUCAGGAUUGUACAAUUAGUCCUUGUUUUGUUACAAUACAUUCAAUUCACUCACAUUGAAUAGCAUCAUUCAACAAUUGCAUCGUUUAAACAAAAAAGGGGAGGAAAAAAAAAAAAAAAAAAAAACUCAAUUGUGUCCAUUAAGCAUGGAGGAUAAGAGGGAAUGGAGAUGGACAUGAACACCAAGAAAGGAGAAGCUCGGCAACGGCGGAAUCUUCGGCGACGGGAUCGGCGGCAGCGAGAAGUCCGGUAUCUCCACCGACAAGUUCGGCAGCUUCGGAAUGGCCGGAAUAACGGCCGGAAGGUCAGCGCGAAGAUCCGCGGGAAUGGGCGGAAUAUCGGCUGGAAGGUCAGCGGGAAUCAUGUCCGCGAAAGAUGAUACAUUUGCCGCCGCUGCCGCUGCCACCGCUGUCGCAACUGCGUCCGGAGGUAAAUCCGUUAAAAGCCGCGCGGCAUCGCAAGAUUUUACAUCGGAGACGGAGAUCGCCGCAACUAAGAUUGCGAAGAAGAGGCGAUUCAUGGAGAUUAUCCUUAAAAAUUCUAAUGUAUUUCGUGAAGGUAGAGAUGUUUAUGUAUGAAUCUUUUAUUAGAUUACGUAAAUGAAAUGUUUAUAGGGUGCUAAAAUUUGGAAGUUGCAGGAAUAGGUAACUCUCGGUUUGUGGCUAAGAGUGAUUUGAGCUUGGAACGCAAUUAAAUAGUCAACAUUUUUGAAUUGGGUCUCUUUGAUCUUUGGAUAUUGCAUGAUUGCCUUCUCACUGGGUAUUAGUCACAUGAUAGUCCCUGAGAUAAUUUGUAUUUGCAAUUUGCCCCACAUUGUAUCUAAAAUUAAUCAUUCAACUAAUUUCUAGUCUCUGAUGAUUUUUUGACCUACGCGAAUUGAGACACCAAUUAAUGGAUGCUAUGUGUCGCGAUAGAUAUAAUCAAAGCUAAAACUUUUUUUUUAGUUUAGAAAAUAUUGUUUUUUCCUAUUGAAAUUUUUUUUUUACAUUUAAGUACAUGGAAUUCUCCUAUUUUGGCUUAUGCGAUGCAAAUUUUGCAGAGUGCACAAAAAACAGCAGCGAAUUACUGACUCGACAGUCCAUUUAAAAUGUGAAUAUCGAUUUAAGUGAUAAUCAGACAGAUAGACUAAUUGGUAAGUAAGAUGAAUAUACUUUUACGAACAAUGAAUAAAAAUUUUAGGAAAAAUUUCAAAUACCACCCAUAUAGUUUCACACUUUUUUACUUUAGUGCCUUGUGGUUUAAAGUGUAUCCAUUUAGUUCCCCGUGGUUUCAAUUUUAUCUUUUUAUUAUCGAUUUCACUAAUUUUUUUCGUUAAAUUAAUGACAAAGUUAAAACUAAAGGAUAUUAAAGUGAAUAUUCGAUAAACCUAGGUAAAGUAUUUGAAGUUUUUGCAUAUAUUUAAUUAAAUAUUAACGAAGUUACUGACGAAAAGAUAAAAAUGAAACCCCAGGACACUAACUUGACACACAUAAAACCACAAGGUAGUAAAAUAAAAAAGUACGAAACUAGAGGAGCGGUAUCUAAAGUUUAUGCGCACCGAAACCUGAAGAGAAUUUGUAGCACAUGUAAAAUUAAGACCACAUUUUAGCAGUUUUGAGGUGUAUUUGUGAUGUGGUAUACAAGGUAUAGUGAAAAAAUAACCCCUACCAUAGAUUGACAGUUGUAAGCUUAGAGAGAUAAUAAUUGUUAGGAUUGGUGAACUAACAACAAAACACAUCUACCUCUUCUCAUUUUUUUUCUCACCAAAGCAAGCAACUUUAACCCAAUUGAAUCCCAACCACCAAUCUAACCCUAAUCUCCUCCACAUCAACUCCCUUUCCCUCCUCACUAUAUAAACACCAUAUAAUCCCCAUGCAAUGCUAUAUCUCAUCAUCACAAGCCCCAAGUAGUAGUAACCAAUCUCCAACACCUAAAGCUCUAAUCACUUUUGUGAUACUCUCUCCCGCUUCUCGCAUGGCUUUUAAAACAGCUUCUCUGCUCCUCGCGGCUGUGCUUGUUCUCGUCGCGACCUGCACGAGCAACGCAGCCCGCCGGCUCGAAGACGCCACUCCUUCCACGGAGGUGCCACCGAUUCCGAAGGUUGAGGAGCCGCCUAUCCCGAAGGUGGAGGUGCCACCGAUUCCGAAGGUGGAGGUGCCGCCUAUCCCGAAGGUGGAGGUGCCACCGAUUCCGAAGGUGGAGGUGCCGCCUAUCCCGAAGGUCGAGGAGCCUCCGCUCCCGAAGGUCGAGGUGCCGCCGAUCCCGAAGGUCGAGGUGCCGCCGAUCCCGAAGGUCGAGGUGCCGCCGAUCCCGAAGGUCGAGGUGCCACCGAUCCCGAAGGUCGAGAUACCGCCGAUUCCGCACAUUCCGGACAUCCCGAAGGUCGAGUUGCCGCCGAUGCCUGAAAUUCCGACCAUCCCGGAAAUCCCGAAGAUUCCCUUCCCCUUCCACGUCCCGCCUCCGGCCGACGACCAUCCCGCCACCGCAGCAGCACCAUGAGGUGUUACAUAUACAAAGAGAGAAGUGUUGGUGACGAGCCCCGGGUGCUUGUUUCCUGUGCGUGCAUGGUACGUACGUACGUAGAUGAAUAAGAGUUUAAGGAGUCUACUUAUAGUAGAGGGAGAGUCCUUAUAUAUAUAUAUAUAUAUAUAUAUAUAUAUAUAUAUAUAUAUAAUAUAUAUAUGUAUUUGCUUGUGAUUUGCUUUGUUUUAGAUUUGUUGUGUUUGGGAGUUUGGGUUUUACUUUAUUUAUUACAUUGUUGUUUAGAUUUUGGUUUCGUUUAGUGUUCGUUUAUGUAUAUAUACAUGGUCGGAAUAUUACAUUUUAUGAUUUACCAAAUGCAAUAAGUAUUUCUUUAUUAAAUAAUGCGAAAUAAUUUAUCCUGCAUUACUCUCCAAAUACUUAAAUUAUCAGAUAACGGUAUUUUUAAUAUUUAUAUUCAAUACUUCUUUUCACAUCUUAACUCAAAAUUUUUCGAUAGAUCCACCACGUGAACUUAAAUUGAAUUGGUUAAAAUUUUAUACUCUGAUACCAUAUUGAAUUAAAUAAAAUAAUCGUUAUUCUUCAAAAAUUUUAUCUUUAACUAUGAAAUACGAAUGUCCCCGACUGUACCUGUUAUGCAUGCGCCACGCACUUUGUUAGACACUAUUUCUUUGGACGUUUGAUUGGUUGGUGGGGUACAUCAAUUCAUAAAGAUCAUCUAAGAAAUGCUCUUUGUAUUAAAACUAUCUAAUUAAAAAAAUUAAUAUUUCAUUAUUGUUUCGACUUGGCACGAGACAGUGUUGGGCCCAAACAGGUUUGAGCCUUACAAGGACCAAAAACGUAAAUGGGCCCAAUUUGGGCCCAUAAUGGGCCUUGGUCCAUUUCAUUGAAACUCAGAAUCUAUUGAACAAGUAUAUAAAGCUAUUCCAAUUAAUUGCAAAAUGUAAGGGGCCGUUUGGUCGGAUGUAAUUAGAAAUGCAAUACUGUAAUAUACUGUUAGAGAUGCAAUAGUUAUAACUAUAUAUAUCUUAUUUGGUUGGAUGCAGUAGAAGACAUUGCAAUUAUAAAUAAUUUGUUUAAUUGUGUGUAGUUGAAAAGUACAUUUAUAAAAUUUUAUAUGGCCUUCAAUAUAGAAAAAUUAUUAUUUAUUAAAAUGAUUAGAGAGGUAAGUUUACUUUUUAUACUCUAUCCAACUGCAGCAAUUGGAACUACGCCACUGCUGCAGUUGGGCCUCCUCGUGUAGUUCCAACUGCAAUAGUACGGAUUCGAAUGCAUCAAACUAAAUACUGAAUUUAAAUUUACAUAUAGUUAUAAUUGAAGCAUACGUAGUUGUAAUUACAUGUAACCAAACGGCCCAGCUCUAAAAGUUAUUCUGAGUUUAUAAUUCUUCCAGGUACCGUUUGGUUCGGGUAUAAGCAAGAACUAGCUAUUAUAGGAAUAGGUACAAGUAUGGGAAUAAAAAAAAUAAUGUUUGGAUGAAAAUUGGGUUGUUCCGGAGGAUAAGAAUAAUUUUAGGUAGUUUUGUAUAGAAAAUGAAGGUGUUGGUGAGAAUAACCGAGAACUACUAUUCUCGGCUAAAAAAUUAGCGUUUGGAUAUAAAAGGGGAUAAGGGCCUAUUCCUAUCCCUAUCUCCUAACCAAACGCUACCCCAGUUGCUAUGGAUAAGAAGUUACAUGAUAUAUCAUUACCAAUAUAGGAAUAAUUAAUAUAGGUUUUUAAGGCCCUAUUUUUGACUUUUUCCUUUACUUUUUUGACAAGAUAUUUUAGUCAAAGAUACCUGGAUGUGGAAUAAGAUCCUGUUAGAGGAUAAGGUUGAGGAGCUUAUUCUUUUUAUGGGUAAAGGUUAAAUGAAUGAGUUUUGGGACCUUAUAAAGUUGAAGGUAUUAUAGCUAAAAUAAAAUAUGUUGGUUAAAUUACAUUUUUUGCAACUUUUGACUUGAAUUUUUUAGAUUGUUGCAAUGGAGUCUCAUGAUCCAAUUUAAUUAAUGAAAAACUAAUGUGUCGCUAUUAGCAAUAACUAAAAUGUUUAUAUUACUGUAUUUAAUAUAAAUAUCAAAAAUAUUGUUCUUCGACAAUUUAAACUUUUCGAGACAAACGAUUGUUUCACAUUUUCAACAUAGUAUGUUCCUCACUUCAUUUAAUUUAUUCACAUUUAAUCAAGCUUAAAAACUCUUCAGCGCAUAGCUUCAUUUAAUUAUUUCACAUUUAAUAUUCAAGUUUAUUUAUUUAGUCUAUCUAAGAGUCUCGAAGCAAGACAUAUUGAAAAGUUUUGAAUAUAAAAAUAUUAUUUUCUGACAAUAUAAAUUUUUGAAGGCAAAAUAUUAUUUAAUAUUAUUUGACAUAUUAUUAUAUUAGCAACAAAGUAGUAUUUAGUCACUAAAUUGAACUAUAAAACUUAAUUAUAAACAUCAAAAAAGUUUGUCACUUUGGAUGUUUCUCAAUUUUUAGCUUAUUUUUGUCAUUUUCUAGAUAGUAAACUCUAUCCAAAAAGCUUUGUUUUGCAACUCCAAAUCUUUUAUAUAAGGGUUAAUUGCAUACACGUUUCUAUAAAUAUAUUGAAUUGCAAAUAUAUUCUUAUAAAAUGCAACUUUUAUAUUUUGUCUCCGUAAAAAUUCUAAUAUAUUCAAAUAUGCUCCUGCUGUUAGAAUCCGUUAUAAAAUUUUAGUUAAUCAUAGGUUAAAUAUUUAACCUUGAUUAGUUUAUAAAAUAAUUUAAUAUUUUUAUUUUUCUUAUAUUAUACUAUUAUGACUUUUGGAGAGAUAUAUUUAUGAUGACAAAAUUGAAAAUAUAAACAAUUCUCUAAUGGUAACAAAACAGAGAGAUAUAUUUGAAAAUAUUAGAACUUUUGCAUAAACAACAUAUAAAAGUUAACUUUGUAGGAAUAUAUUUGUAAUUCACUAUAUUUGUAGAGGAUUGUAUGCAUCUAAUCCUUUGUUAAAAUACGAAUACUGAGUAUAAUUGGGCACUUUUGUAACACUUUUAUAUAUAAUUUAAAGAACACAAAACCACCGAAAUACCCUACAAUGUAACUGGGCACGUCACAGCUGUAACAUUUAUUUUAUUUUUUUAAUUAUAUACAUAUAUAAGUAACUUAAUAAUUAUUAUUAUUUUACUACAAAGUGUUGUAAGUGUUAACAUCAUGAACUGUAAAUACAGUAUAAAUACAUAUAGAAUGUGAUCCGAUCAUCUUAAUAAAGUUUUGCAAUCCAAUUUAAAAAUUAAAUUUUGAACUUAGUUGAGAUGAUAGUAAGAUAAAAGAUUAGUAAUUUUUUUUUUAGCAUAGAAUAAUUGAAACUGAGGCUACAAUUAAAGGGUUAUUUUUUUGUAAUUUAAUCAUAUAUAAAUAAAAAUGUUUGCUAAUAUAUAAGGACCCAUUUUGUGGGCUAUCUAUCAUAGUUAAGCAUUAUUUUUUGCGCUUUCUAAUAAAACUGUGGAAAUUAUAUCUGAAUAAAAUCAUUACGAUCUACACAAUGCAAUAUAUAUAUAUAUAUAUAUAUAUAUAUAAAAGCACGUAUAUCAAAUUUGGGUCUGUCGACAGACUCAUUUUUCGACGGAAAAAUUUAGCGCCCAUUUUCCUCCUUCUGUACGAAAAAAUUUUAAAAAUAAGAAUAAAAAUAGAAAUAAAAACAGUAAUGAAUACGUAAUUAUAAAUUUUUUAUUUUAAUUUCAAAGUAAGUUUUCUAUAACAGAUUACGGGUGUGACAAUCUAUAAAAGAUAUUUUUUAUUUUAUUUUAAAAUAUCUUUUUUAGAUAUUAUCUAUUUAAUUUCAAAAUAUAUUUUCUUUUUAAGAUAACGGAUUUUAUUUUUCUAUUUAAUUUCAAAAUUUUAUUUCCUAACAUAUUUUAUUUUUCUAUUUAAUUUCAAAAGUAAUUUUUGCAUUAGAGAUUAUUGUUAAUUAUUUAUCAUUUAAAGCAUAUCUUUCUUAAUAGCGUGAUUUAUUAUUUUAAAUUUUUUAGAUACAUAUUUGGCAAUCAUAUAAAAUAUGGCCUAAAAUUAAAAAAUAAUUUAAAAAAAUUAUAACUUUUUCUAAUAAUUAUUACGUGCAUUUGUACGUACAUUUUACUAGUAUAUAUAUAUAUAAUGAAAUGUUGUCCUACCACAUUUUUUAUCAUAUAUAACAUAUUUUUCUAGUAAUCGCAGAUAGAACCUAAGGCUACGCUGAAAAUUAUAAGCAAAUUGAAUUUAUAAGUAAUAUUUUAUUAUGCAUAUUGUAAUGACUUGAUUAAAAUAUAUUUUUUGCUAUUUCAUCAGAAAAAAAAGUAGCGUAUAUUUCUAUAUGUCAAUUAUAAAAAAUUAAUUUAAUUAGCUAAAAAUAUUUUUUAAAAAACUUUUAAAAUUAAAUAUGUCAAUUCUAAAAAUAAAAUAAAAUUUAAAGCAAUUUCAAAAGAAAUGUAGUUGGGGGGUUUUCCAUGCAUAUUUACCAAAUUAAGAAAUAAAAAAAAGGAGAAGAGAAAAUGUGAGCCACAUGGCCUUGUCCCAUUCCUUCACCACUAAAUUUUUCCCCCCUUAAAAAAAAGAAAAAUAAAAAAUAAAUGGGAGGUAAAUGAGAGAAGAGGAUCUUUUUGUGGCCAAAAAUUACUUGGAAAAUAAAUGAAUGGGUGGUGUUAAAAUAUUAUAAAAAUGACUUGGAAAAAAAAAAUGAAUGGAUGGUGUUAAAAUAUUAUAAAAGUGUUAGAAUAUUCUUGCUCUUUUUCUUAAGAGAUAAACUUAGCAAAUUCCCCAAAAAAAUUCUACCACUAUUUAACAAAAUUGAUGAGUCAUAUAUGAUAUUUAUUUAUAUUUAUUUUUAUUGAAGUAUUAAUUAAGAAUAAAAAAAUAUAUGAGUAGUUUGUGAUAUUCUUUUAUCUUCAGAGAAUUAGUUGAAAUUAAUUAUUAGUUGGAUUGAAGUGUUGAAUAUAAAAUAUUUAAAACAUUAUUUUUUUGUAAUUUAGUUUUUUUUUUAUUUAAUUCAAGUUCACGUUUUGGAUCUAUCAAAAAAUUUUGAAUUUAAAUGUGAGAAAGAGUGGUGAAUAUAAAUAUUAAAAAUAUAGUUUUCUGAUGACUUAAGUUUUUAGAGAACAAAAGUCUCUUCAUAAAAUUAGCUAGUUGUAUAAAUUAAAAACGAUGGAUGUAAAAAUUUACACCUAUAAAAUAGGAGUACAAGUUAACAUGUAACAGCUCACAUAUAGCAUCUGCUUCUAACAUCGCUUUUUAUUAAUUCAAUCUUAUUUUUUAGCAUGGUAUCAGAAUAAGAGAUUCAGAAUUUGAGUCAUCGAAAAUUAGUAUUAGUAAUUUUUUUUCUAUUUAAUUCAAGUUCAUAUUUUAAACCUAUCAAAAUAUAUAAAAAACUCUUAUGUUGAUCUUUAACACUAAACUCUAGUGAAUAAUCUUCGAAUUAGAAACUGAUCAUUACUAAUCGACGAGUUGUUUUGAACUUCAGAUUAGAAAUUGUUCAAACAGUGAAUAUAUAUAAAUAAAGCUCCAGCUACGUCAAACAGAUAUGCAUUCAAAUAAACUAGUGUUUCUAAUAUCUUCUACGCCCACAGAAAUAAGGGUGAGACAGAAGCUCCAACCGCAUCAAACAGAUCCGUUCGACAAAACUAGCUUUUUUUCUUUCUUGAGAAAAAUAAAAUUUACAAUACAUUAAUUGCACGCCCACAGAAUCAAAACCAAAGAAUUUGUAUCUCCCAGUACUUCAAGGACAUCCAGUUAUUUUUACUCUUUUUUUUUAAAGAAAAUGGUUUCAAUUUAUUGCAUGCAUACAUGCAUGCAAUUAAUUUAGGAUAAACUUCAAAUAACAUCUCUAUAGUUUCGUGCGUUCUCACUUUGGUACUCUAUACUUUAAAGUGAUUUCAUUACUUUGUGAUUUCUUUUUGUUUUUUUUCGUCAGCCUCUCCGUUAACUUUCGCUAAAUCAUAUAUAAAAUACUUCAGAUACUUCAUUUAUAAUUUAUCGAAUAUUCACUUUAAUACUCUUUAGUUUUAACUUUAUUACUGAUUUAACGAAAAAAAUUAAUAAAGAGGAUAACAAAAAAAGAAAAAUAGAAAUUGGCUCGUUUAACAAUUGAUUGAGUUUAAAUCGGAUCAAAUUUCGAGUUGAGCGUAGUUUUAGCCCUGGUUAAUUGAAUCAAUAAAAUUACUCUCUCUCUCUCUCUCUCUCUAUAUAUAUAUAUAUAAUAAUAAUAAUAAAUUUGAAAGAAUUAUAAUUUUUUAUAUAAAUUUGAUAAUGAAUAAUAAUUUUUUCUAUUGUCCGAUGCAAACACAUGCUUUCAUUCUAUAACUACUCGAUACUUACAAAAAUUUUGUUAAAUUAUAGAAAAAUUAUAAUAUAAAAUUUAGUGCGGGCACUGUAAAUAUUCAUUAAUAUUGAUAUCAAUAUUACAAUUAAUAAAUAUUUUAAAAAACAAAAAUUAAGUUAAAAUAAAUAACAAAAUUAAAUAUAUUUUAAAGUAGAAAAUAGGUGAAUAUUAGAGUAUAACGAUACAAUUAACUAUAUUUAUUUAUAUUAUGUUUUUAAAGCUAAAAAAUGAAACAUAAAAAAAAUAAAAUAAAUAAAAUAGUGAACACGACGAGACCCUUCCCAAAUUGGGAAGCGGCGUAAGUCAAAAUUUAUGCGGUCAUUGGAAUCGGCAACGCUGACGAAAAUUACGGCUGCAUCAAAUUUCGCGCUCAACUCCUCUCCGGGAAAAAAAAAAAUGUUCUAUGCGGACGUACCUUCAUAAGCCAAUAUGCGGGGGGAAUUAAAAAUUUCGGUUUUAAAUAUCUUAUUAUAUUUCUAAUCUGUUUUUAUUAAAUAAAUCUUUUAAGUAACACAAAAUUAGAGCCCGCUCUAAGCUCUCUCUCAAUUGAAAGAGAUCGUAUAAGUUCAUUUUCUAUAAUCAUUCACUUAUCCACAUAAUAUUAUUACAUAAGAAAAAAGUUAUUAAAAAUUUAUAUUUAGAUUCUAAGCUUAAUUUCUUGUUAAAUUUUAGAUUUUGCUGAUGCGUUUGGUGAGUAAAUUACGAUGCAUUCAUGUACAUAAUUUGGAGGGGUUUAGAUCCAUUCUCUGAAAUAAGUACGAAAUCAAACAAAAUAUAUAUAAACUGGUUUAAUUCGUCGGAUUUUAAAGAUUGGUUUGACAAAGAUAUCUAAUUACUCAUCGUAGUCGCAUUUAUAAAGAACUUUAUAUAACUCUUUUUUGGAAAAUAUAUAUAUUACUUACACAGCUACAUUUGAUGCUAUAUAUAUAUAUAUAUAUAUAUAUAUAUAGAGAGAGAGAGAGAGAGAGAGAGAGAGAGAGUGUGUGUGAGACUAUUAUGCUAUCGGAAGCACGGAGCAUUCCGUGCUUCUAGCUUGUUUUCGAUGUUGCGACUUUCGAAUAGUCGAUCGGCUCCAUUAAACUUGAUCUAGAGUAUUUGGAGUACCUAGAAAAUAAAUUUUAUAAUUUUACGAUAUCAUUUGCCUAGUGAACGAAAGGGCUCAAAAUCAACGGCUGAAAAUAAAAAUCUUACAAAAUGUAAUAAUAUGACAUUAAAAUUUUAAUCAAAGAUAUUGAUCUUGUUUUAUAUAGUAUAAAAAAUUUUCUAUUAAAAUUUCACAUGAUUUGGAUAUUUCUACACCGUUAAACUUGCAAACGGCUCACUACGGCCAUUGAAAUUUGUUGAUUUUGAGCCCAUUCGAUCACUAGGCAAAUGAUUAUUGAAAUAUAUUAAUAAUAGUUAUUCUUGUAGUACUCCAAAUAUUCUAAAUCAAGUUUAAAGAAGCGCGAUCGACGAUUCGAAAGUCGCAAAUCAAAACGACUGGAAGCACGGAAGGCUCUGUGCUUCACGAUUGCUCAUAGUGCCUCAUCUAUAAUAUAAUAUAUACUAUAUAUUAGAGUAGGGCUAUGUAAUUAUUGUAAGUAUUCAUGGGUGAUACUGUGUGUUUUUAGCUUUGGAUGGAGAGUAUUGGUGGGUUGAGAGGAUGGUUGAUUAGGUGGUGGUUAGUGAAUGAGUAUUUAAUCCAAGGGCUAUUAAUAAUCAAAAGUAGUCAAAUGGCUUAAAACCUUAUAGCACUGAUGAUGAUAUUGUAAAGUUUAUAGUCAACUCGUAUAUAUAAUAUAUUAGGAUAUAUAUAUAUAUAUAUAUAUAUAUAUAUAUAUAUAUAUAUGCCUUAGUAAAACUUUCGUAUUAUUUUUGUCUAUGCUUAUUUAUUACAAAUAUGGUUAUAAAUUUUGUAUGUCUGCGUCAGACUCUUGUUCGUCGUGGACACGUUAUGAAUGCGCGUUUGUCCGCAUCCACAUUUCGACCCAUUAAACAAUUAAAAAAUCUAUUAUACUUUUUUUACUUAUAUAUUAUAUGAGAUGAUAAAAGUUUUGUUUCUUCUAUGAAUAUAUAUAAAUUUAUUUUGGACGAUAUAUAUAAAAAAAAAUUAUGCAUGGUGAAACUUAUUUUUUCUUUAAAUAUAUGAGCUAUCAAUAAAAAUUUUAUUCACACUUAAUCAUAUUAAAAUUAUAACAAUAUUUCAAUAAUAUAUAUAUAUUUAUAUUAAUAAUAUUAUAUUUUAUUAUAAGUGUUCAUCCGUAUUCGUAUUUAUGUCUGUGUGUGCGAGGAAAAAUUCUAGAAUGUAACGGGUAUAUUAGUGACGUGGCGUAACAAACCAAUCAAAUUAAUCCUUUUAAGAAUAUAUGUCCCAUCAUAAUUGUAAAAAAAUAUUUUUAUUGUACUUUUAUUUAAAAAGAAGGAAUGUGAUUGGCUUGUUAUUGAUGACGUGGUGCAAGUGUGACAGUGUAGAAUUCCUCGUGUGCGAGACUCCUAUAUAUGUGUUUCCUAAUAUUAUUGUAUAUGAAAAUAAAACAGAUAUUAAUUUUUUAAUAUUUUUUAAUGUUUUAAUUUUAUAUAAUAUAAUCUCCUUACUUGAGCUACACAUGAAAGUGUAAUGCGAGUGCCCGCACAGUACUAUUCCAGUACUAAUAUCACGUCCUAUUCUCAAUCCGAAUCCGUCCGCAUAAAAGUAAAAAAAAAAAAAAAAUUAAAAAACGAAAUACUAAACACUAAAUACGGAACCAAUGAGGGGCCUAUGUAUAAAUAUAUAUUUGUUGUGUAAUUAUAAACUCUCCGGUGUUGAAGCUAUGGAGUGGAACAAAUGUAAGAAGAGUUGAAGCUAAGCUCUCUUGCAAAAAGGUCAUCUUUUUUGUACCCAUUAUUAUUUUUAUUUAUCUCCUAUUCCUUUUUUUUUUCUUUCUUUUUUUUUCUUUUUUUUUGUUUAUAUGGAUUUCACCACUUUUGGCUUCAUGAAAAAGCUGCAAUUUUUUGCUCAUCUGAGUAGCUAAUUUUUUUGUGCUUUAAACUUGUCAUAAUUCAUCAUUCAUUUUAAUAAAUGGGUCCUUUUUUAUUUUAUGUUUACAGGUGUGUAUUUUCACUAUUUUGAUUUGUUUUAAACUAUACAAAAAGUUCAUUUCCUUUCCCUUUACUGCAUGAUUUUUCCUCUUUUUGCAUUAAAAAAAAACACUUCCUCUUUUGUGCUGUAUCUUUUUGAUCUUUACAUCUAUGAUCCAUCUCCAAUAUUCAUUGUAGAAUCCUUAUUAAUUUUUUUUUUUUUUUGUUUCCCCUUCAAAUUCCACUUAUUAUUGUGCAUUUUAUGCCUUGGCCAUGUUACAUAUAUGAUCCAUGUUCUAAUAAUGUUCAACUAUAUUGUGCAUGCAUGUAACUACACAACUUGCUAAUGUGUUAUGUAUUAUAUAUAUGAUCUCCUAAUAAGAUCAAUUCAUUUGCUUUUCAAUAGUUGCAGUGUUGUGUGAAGUAGAUCUCAAUAAGCAGAUCAAAUGAACCAAUUUGUUCCGAAUUGGAACAUGGACGACGAAUCGCGAUCUCUUCGAGAUCUCGUCGCCGCGCCGGAUCGAAAGGAACCUAUUGGGUCAGUCCCUUGUCGCGAAAAUUUUCUCCGAUUUUAGCUCAAUUUUAAGUUUUACUAGUCUCAACAUUUGUUUUCAUGUUCUGAUGAUGAUGAUGCAGAGCAGACAAUGAGCUCAUAGAACUGCUGUGGCAGAAUGGGCAUGUUGUCAUGCAGAGCCAAACUCAUCGAAAACCCCCGGCCUUAGCCCCCGAAUUCAAGCAAUUGCGUAAGCACGAUGAACCGAUGCUGAAAUCAGCGGCGACCGUUGCGGCCACGAGCAGUCUUACUCGAGACGAGACCGCGUCGUGGUUCCAAUACCCGCUCGAGGAUUCGAUCGACAGGGAUUUCUACUCUGAGUUCUUUUUCGACAUGCCGAACGCCGACGAAGGGCGACCGGGCGCGGAGAAUGAUGCGGUUGACUUCUCGCACUUUGCGAAACAAUGGAAGGGUGGUGAUGCAGGGGCGUCGAAUCCGUUACCGGGGGAGAAGAGGGUGGAGAGUGGGGGUUUGGGAGUGGCGGGAGCGUCGUCGUCGUCGAUGAUGACGGUCGCGUCAAGCAUUUGCGUGAGCAACCAAAUUCAAGUGGCUGCUAAGUUGAGGCAGAUUGCGAGCGGCGACGCCGGAGCUUCCGCUUCGAGAAGAAGCUCGAAAGAAGAAGCUCACACUAGAUUGGCUUCGCAAGAAGCCGCUGUGGCUUCGUCGUCGGGCCGUUCCGGUUGUAGUUUCGGUUUCGGACGAACGGAACAACACAACAACAAGAGAAAGGAAAGAGGAAUGGAGGAAUUCGAAAGCCUCAGCGAGGUAAAGUAGAAGCUCUAUUUUGGAGUCUUGAUUUGUAGUAAUUUCUCAUCUUUCAAAACGGUGCUUGAAAUUAUGUAGGACGCGGAGAAUGAAUCCGUCGAGGCGAAUAACCAGGCUCAGCGGUCUACAUCUACGCGCAGAAGCCGUGCUGCUGAAGUUCACAACCUGUCAGAGAGGGUGAGAAUUGUCAAAGAUCCUUUUUUUUUUUUCGUUCUUUUUUUUAACUUAGUUGCAGCUCAUAGUCUUAUUAUAUCUUUUAUUCGAUAGAGAAGAAGAGAUAGAAUUAAUGAGAAAAUGAGAGCACUGCAAGAGCUCAUACCUCACUGCAACAAGGUAAGAUGUCUUUGUUGCGGCAAUUUCGUAUCAUACACAAAGUUUCAAGUUUUUAGUCAAUUCGGAGAGUUUGGUGUUUAAGCAAUCUUAUACAUGGUUACAGCAAAAUAAUUGUGUGCAACUGCACAUAGGGAAAAAAAAAAAAAAUACAAAUUUCAAUAUGCUAGUGCUGAUAAUUUCAGAGUGACAAAGCAUCUAUAUUAGAUGAGGCGAUCGAGUACUUGAAGUCGCUUCAACUGCAAGUUCAGGUCAGAAACAAUUUUCUAUUUUCUUUCGUUCUUACUUCGAAUCAUCGAUUUGCUUAGAGAAAGAGAAAAAAAAAAUUGUUCUUACAUGUCUCGCAGUUUCUGUGGAUGGGAACUGGUAUGGGGCCGAUGAUGUUUCGCGGGUUCCACCAAUACAUGUCGCGCGUGGGUCCUGCCUCCAUCCCUUCGCUGCAUAGUCCGGUUCCGAUGUCGAGAGCGCCAUUCAUGAAUAAUCAGUUUAUGGCCUCAACUUCUACAGCAAACGCGGCAAAUUUCUCCAACCAAAUGCCGAAUGUACCUCUCGGAGCUGGUUUACUUGGUCUUAAUCAUCUUCCGCUACAAUCUCAGGUUCGUCGCUCUUGUACGAAUUUACAUUCUGUUUUUUAUAUGUUGUUCUUUUUUCCUAUUUUUUCUAAAAGAUUUUCACAUGAAUUUUUUUUUUGCAGGCGAUGAAUUGUGAUGCAUACGGACCUAAAACAGCGCAGCAGCAUCAGAGUUCAGUGGAGCCAAUUUCCGGAGCUUCUCCCUCCGAAAGUACUCCGAAGGACAAAGCUGGUAAGACAUAGUCGAGUAAAUUAUCGAUGCUUUUCGCCUGCUAUAUAUUCAGUGAGAUUUAAUUUUUCAUAGACGGUAUCGCUGCCGAGUUCUUACUAUCGGUAACAAUUAAGUCCUUCUGUUACAUAUUCUGCCAUCUGAAAUAGACGCCGCGUCAGCAUUGAGGGUGGGUUGUUCGCAUUUAAUUUGAUGGUCGGAGGUGAAUUGAUUAUGUUACGCGUAGUACGUGGAAGUAUCGAUGUAAUUUCAUAGAGUCAUUCGGUCUGAGAUUGGCCCUCGCAGCAACGAAUUUUAGGUACGACGCUGAGGUCGCAUCUGUUUUAGAUGGUAGCCUAAUGGAAGCAAAUUUUUAGGGCUAAAGCGGGGUCGAAACCCCUCGGAGAACAUAAAAGAAAUUGGGAUCAAAGUCUGAGGCAGAUAAGAACAAACUGUUGCGCGAAUAUAUUGGCAUCAGCCAAUUUGGGCCUCUGAUGGGUCCAUUUGUUCGUAUCCGGCGGCGUUGUCGUCGACAGCAAUCAAUUUCAUUUUGCCACCAUUUACUUCUUUCCAAUUUGUGGCCUUUAUAUUCUUCACGAAUUCGUAUGAAUAAGGGAAGCAGAGGAGUUAGCAUCAGAGCUUUCGAAAUCCAAACUUUAAGCAUCUCUUUUCUCGAUGUCGACAGGUUAGCAGAUAACGGUUCAUACUUGGAGGAAAUUUCGCGCAAUCGGACCCACUGCAGCUGUAACAUGACUGCUUCUUGCUGCUCGUUUUUGCGGACGAGACAUUCGGAUUGGCGGCCGAAAUAAGUAUCUAAUUGUUAGUUAGAACUCAUUUUUCUUUUUUUUUAUGUGAAGAGAUAAAAUGGCGAAAAAUGAUCAUCUUUCCUUGCCCAGAAACUUUCUGAUGCAUUAAUUUAUUGAUAUUUCUUAUAAGAGUUUAAAAUUUUUCCCCCCUUUUUUAUUGCUAGGGAUAAAUAUCUAACAAGUGUAAAUUUUCAUUUGGUAAUUACUGAGAUCAGCAAAUUUGGAAUAUUGUAAUUGUGUUGUAGUAUUUUGUUUUUUAUUUUUUUCUUUUUAAUCAUCAGCAGUGUUCGAAAAGACCUGACCUUCGUGGUGAUGAUGCCCGAGUAAAAAAUUGAAACUACCCAUCAAUAUAUAUAUAUAUAUAUAUAUUUUAAUUUCUUUUGGAAUUAUUACCCAUUAAUAUUUCUCAAGUGCUAUUUAACUGUGAAUUAAUAAAUAAAUAAAUAAAUAUCCAUUGUUACUAGAUUGAAAAGCUUUUAAAAGAUGCAAACAAUAUCCACUUAAUUUGCUGUUGAAGUAUUACAACACUCACCACAGUUUGGUUUCUAAAUUUUGAGAGCUUUUGGUGUCAGUUGUUGAGAAACCAAGAAUCCAAAGGACAAAACACAAAAGGGAAAUGAAAUAAGCUCAUGAUUGUGUGUCUCAUAUGCCAUUUUUGGAUCAUUAAAUGCCCACAUGUACUGCUUACACAGGAGCUGAGAUUUUGCCACCACUCUCCAACCUCAACUUUCCUUUUGGGGAAAGGUUAAGGGCACUGCAGAUGAACCUGAUUUAUUAAAAUAUCUCUGAUAUGCUAAUAAUGGCUCAGUAGUGCAGCAGCUUGUUGGGUCAGUGAUGUGAGAUUACUGGGCCCAUUCAGGCUCUGUGUGUGUCUUAAGCUACUGUAGCAGAAUCUUGUUGCAACUUGCUUGUUGAGAGAGAGAGAGAGAGAGAGAGAGAGAGAGAGAGAGAAUUCAAAUAUAGGAAUCUUGCAUAGUCCCUCUGGUAACCUGAUAUUGUGACUUAAUCCAUGAACUUUUACUAAGAACACUUUAGUUUCGAAAUUUUCCGAGUUUACUGUGUAUUCGUCCGAUACUUAUUUCUUAGUGUGGAAGGCUCGUUCCUUUACACUGAGCUCAUGGAUGAAGUUCGGGGUCUUUGGAAAAGGGCUAUCAGUCUAGCUGAUGCAGGAAAGAGAAUUAAAGGCCUAACUUUCUUGGCGGCUGUUUGGUGGAUGAUCUGGACUGAAAGGAACAAUUUUAUCUUCUGUGAUAAAUCGCCGAUCCCUCCGGUCUCGCUGAACCAUCUCAAACGCUUGCUUUACGAGUGGACCGAGCCCUCAGCUGUUCACUGAACCUUCCCUCAGCAUGUUCCUCCCUCGCCUCCACCGUUGUUUCUUAGUUUUCUUCUUACUUUUGGUUUCUUUUUCCUUUCUAUCUUUUUUCGAAAGCCCCAAUUGCUUUCACCAUGUAUACUUUAGUUCAUUUUGCCUAAUGAAUGAAGCAGAUAGCUCGCUACCUUUUUUCAAAAAAAAAUUACUUUUAGUUUCGAAAUUUUUUGAGUUUUUCUUGUAUAAUGACCACGAUAAAAUUUGAAAAGUACUUGUACGAGAAGCUCCUCAUUCAACCUGAUCAGGCUCUCUCUGAAUCCAUCGUCCAAAAGCGGAGUUGAGAUUUGGACCGAGAACUUCUAAAUUAGAACAGACCUUUAAGAUUCUCCUACGAGGUGAAUUAUACGCACGGGCGCGGCUCAGCAAACUGUCUCAAUGAGAACUCGUUAAGAAGCUUCUCAAUAAAGAUGAGCUAUAAUAAUUCUUCACUUCAGAAGUAAUUUUUUUUUUUUUUUCCCGUAUACUCAAAACAAGGCCAGAAAGUAGAAGGAAGAUAAUAGUAGAUAUUCAUGUCACUAUUGUGGGCACAGUGAAAGUAGCAUUAUGCCUACAAGGAAUUGACAAGGAAAAGAUAUUCUCGAAACGAACUUUAUCUGAUCAGGACAUAUAGUAAUUUUGUGGACUAUGGUGGAGUUCUAUCAUUUUCGGUACUUGAUUAGUCCUUAAAUCAACUAGCCAAAGAGUUUUAAAAUUUUUAAGUGAAAAAUUUAGAGACCAAGUUGCAGUAUCAGAAUAGUAGAGGGACCAUCCACAAACUUCACCCAAAGAAGAGAAUUUUGUGAGGGCCCCUUUGAAGCAGCCAACUGGAGGGAUGGUGAGCAGAAAGAAGAGGGUCUUGCAGGAUUCAGCCAUGUUAUGUGGGGGCAGCAGACAGCUCCUCCCCCCCUUGUUUUCUUUCUACUAUUCUUUGAUGUUAACAGCAUAGAAAAGACUACUGUCAGUGGGUGUGGGCCCUUUGGUAACAUGGCCACUGAUCAUGUAUCAUAUUUUUUAAAGAAAAACUUUUAAGUAUCACCCAUGUGGUUUCGUACUUUCUUAUUUUAGUAUCCUAUGGUUUAAAAUGUAUCAAGUUAAUGUUCUGUAAUUUUAUUUUUAUCUUUUCGUCAGCUUUUUCGUUAAUAUUUCGUUAAGUUAUGUACAAAAAACUUCAAAUACCCUAUCUAAAUUUAUCGAAUAUUCACUUUAAUAUCCUUUAGUUUUAACUUUAUCACUCAUUUAACAAAAAAAAAUUAGUGAAAUUAAUAAUAAAAAGAUAAAAAUAAAACCGCAUGGCACUGAAUUAAUACACUUUAAACUAUAGGGUACUAAAGUCAGAAAAUGUGAAACCAUUGAAGUGGUAUUUGAAGUUUUUUCUAUCUUUUACGACGAUCUCUCUCUCUCUCUCUCUCUAAAGUCAGAAAGUGUGAAAUCAUUGAAGUGGUAUUUGAAGUUUUUUCUAUCUUUUACGACUCUCUCUCUCUCUCUCUCUCUCUCUCUCUCUCUCUCUCACACACACACACACACACACACACACACACACACACAACUUGGAUUAGAUUUUUCUAUGAGUUCUGUUGUAAGUAUCUGACAAUGCUCUCUCUUGCUGUAUGCAUCUGUUGACAUGCAUGUUAUGCACAGAUUGUCUUGUCUAGAUCAUAUGAUAGCUAAGACUGUGUGCAUUAAUCCAUCAAAACUCUCCACAUUAAGAAUGAUGUUAACACUAUUCUUAUGUUGUUUGCUGCUAGAUUUGUUUUUUUUUCUUCUUCCACGUAGCAUUAAAGUCAAUUAUAAAUCCCUUCAAUUCUACAACAUUACGAAUUUAAAUCCCCACCUGUUUAUUUAAUGAGUUAAAAUUCUAAACAAAAAUUUAAUCGUGUGUUAAUAAGUAGUUUAUGCAUAUACUAAGUAUCUGAUCAAUAUAUGAGGAGAUUCUGGGGAACUCGCAAUAGCGGCUUUUUUUUUUUCCCUUCUUCUAUUCCUCUUCACCAUCCAACCAAAGCAAGUGAUUAAUCAUUCUAACCACAUUGUUUAUCAUUUGCUAAUCAUUUACUUUGUGCACAUAAGACUGAAACUAACUUCCACAAACAAAAGUUAUGCUCCACAUCAUUAGGGCUAUAUAUAUAGCUACAUAAAAAAAGAAAAACUUCAAAUACUCCCCCUGUGGUUUCGUACGUCCUCACUUUAGUACCAUGUGGUUUAAAGUGUAUCAAGUUAAUACCUUGUGGUUUCGCACUUUCUCACUUUAAUACCAUGUGGUUUAAUAUUUCGUUAAAUUAUAUACAAAAAACUUCAGAUACCCUACAUAGAUUUAUCGAAUAUUCAUUUUAGUUCCCUUUAGUUUUAGCUUUGUCACUGAUUUAAAAAAAAAAUUUCUAAAAUGGAUAAUAAAAAAAGAAAAAUGAAACCCCAUGAUACUAACUUGAUACAAAAAUAAAAUCACAGAGUACUAACUUGAUACACUUUAAACCACAGGCACUAAAGUGAGAAAGUGCGAAAUUACAAGAUCCUAAGAUUCCUAACUUGAUAUACUUUGAAAUGAGAAAGUGUGAAUCCACAGGGGUAUUUGAAGUUUUCCCAAAAAAAAAAAAAAAAAACCCAUAACUUUAUUUGCUCAAUCUAAUUAAUGAUAGAUUAAUUUUGUGGGACAUGUAUUAUUUUAUAUUAUUAACCAAGUACCAUACUGUGUUGUUGUUGGGGUCCCUUUCAGUCAACACCUCAGAUCAAGAAGGAAUUGAAUCCAAUAAUGCCCACAUUUAUUAAAGCAAAGGAUAAGUACAAGCAUCCAAGUGCAUGCAUCUUUUAUUGCAUUUUGGUCUACACAAUGUUCUCAAUUGGACCACAUUUCUUAUCAGGGUUCUUAACUAUCACCUUUGAUUGUAUAAUAAUAAGUGACAUUAUUAUUAAUAUUAUCAAGUGUAUCAUGUAAUUUGAUGAAGAAAUGUCAUGUCCAUUAUUUCAUGAAGAUUUGUUAAUAAGUGGUUAUGGGCUAUUUUUAAGAUGAAACACUUUGGUGGUAACUUAGAAGUGAAGUCCCGUUUAUACUAAACUAUAAUUUUAUUUUAUGACUCUAUAGUUUAGAUCUUAUUACUCAGAAGCCUAUUAGAAUUUGUCAAUAAAACGAGACAUACUUGUCAAUGACAAAUUAUUUGUUGUACUUCAGCAAUCAAUUCUUAGAUCUGAGGUACUGUCACGAUUAUCUAAUAUAUGAGUUGCUACAGUUUGAUUAUAGUAGAUUAUGCACAUCGAGAUGUAGUGCAUGAUUUGGAAUCUACUAUUAUGGACUUAAAAAUCAAUUUAAUAAAUUAAACACUGCCCCACAAAAGGUGUCACCUCUUAACUAAACCAAUGACUCAAACACCUUACAUGUUUAAAUUCAUCUUAAUUAAUUAACAUGGUAUCAAUGUCCCAAAAAGGGGCUGCAACUCUAUGCAACCUCCACCAAAUAGUAAAUAGGUUUUGAGUAGGUAAAAAUUUUCCAUAUUUGGCAUAUAAUUGAUAAUGUUGCAUAAGCCCCACUAGCACAUGGCUAUGAUGUGCUCAACAACAUGACAAAUAUGGAAUUAAAAAACAAAAAGGUUGUAAUAGAAUCAAGUGUGGGUAGUCAUUAGUCACAAUAUAUAAAUGUUUCUUUUUUAAAAAACUUUUAACUUUUGGUUUAUAUAUAUAUAUAUAGAUCUCCUCCUUGCUAUAGAAUGGUCAUAUAAUUUAUUGCACACCAAUCAUAUAUAUACCUCAUACAAUAUAAAAUAUUUUUAAUAAUAAAAUAAGAAAAGAUUAAAAGUGCUUCAGAGUUUCUGAGUUGUUCACAUUAUAAAAAUGACGAUUUUAGCUACCAUAUUACCAAACAAGAUCUAAGUCUUUUAACUCUUGUUGACCUCUAUAAGCUAAAAGGUUAUAAUAUUCUUUAUUAAAAUAAAAAAUACUUUAAUAAUAUUUGAUUAAUAAAAAUAAAGGAAGAGAGAGAGAGAGAGAGUCAAAGCAUGCACCCUGAAAAUCCUGUGUAACAAGAGAUUUAGAAAUUUCUAAAAUGUAUAUUAUGAGGAUUCAUUAGAUUUGGUUUAUUAAUUAACCUACAAAUUCUCUCUUGUAUAAGUGUGACUAAAAAUUUAGAAAUUUCCAAAAUGUAUAUUAUGCGGAUUCAUUAGAUUUGCUUCAUUCAUUAACCAACAAAUUCUCUCUUGUACUAUAUACAUAGUUUUUAUUAAAAAGAUCAGGAAAAAUAAAUUAAAGAAAAUCUAAAAAAGUAAAUUUCAAAAAUUAUUUUUAUUAAAAAGAUCAGGAAAAAUAAAUUAAAAAAUUUCUUGUGGCGUCGCCCGGGUUCGAACCGGAGACCUUCAGUGUGUUAGACUGACGUGAUAACCAACUACACCACGACACCUUCACAUUUAUGUUUUUUCAUUUAAUAUAAAUAAUAAAUACUUAGGAGUAAGAAAUAAUCUUAUUAUCAGUUAUCAUUAGUGAUUGGGAAGCUUAUAAGGGCAAGCAUAGCUGAAGCAAACUGGUGAUCUAAACCAGCCAUUGAUCGCUGGUUCAGAUUGAUUUUAAGUUUCAUAUACUGUAGAUUCAGUCGUGAUUUAGCCAUUCUAGUGAAAAAAAAUUAAAAAAAAAGUUAGAGGAUAAGUUGUGAGUUACUGCCGUAUGCGAAGUCAUUGCUCCAUGAGACAGAAACAUAUGCAUAGGCUCCCAUGGAAGUCCAAAAUUUUCAUUAUUAUCAAACAUCUGCGAACUUCAGUUACACAAACUCCUCACUUCAACCCCGGACUUCCAUGUAAACAAACAUGCCCACUCCUAAACCACCCAAACAAUCAUAACCUUUUUUUUUUUAAAUUUUUGUUUUCUUUUUCCCACUUUUUGAGACUCAAGAAUUUGACUCCCUACUUGCCACUCAAAUCCCCACCCAGACUCCUUACUAUUGCUUUUUGUCGAAUUCAAAUACAUUUUAGAAUCAAAAGAUUACAUGAAAUUCUUUGGACUAAGUUAAAAUAAUAGUUUUUAUAAAUAAAAAAUUAAACUUGAACAACAAAGGGGUGGUGGCGCAGUUGGCUAGCGCGUAGGUCUCAUAGCUUGGUUUGAGGUAUCCUGAGGUCGAGAGUUCGAGCCUCUCUCACCCCAUUCAAAAAUAUUGAAAAAUAUUCGAGCCGUGAUGAUCAUUUGUGUGUGAUCUGUGAAAGGGUGGGUCCUUCACAACCGUCCGAUUAUCAGACGAAAUCUACACAUCUGAGCUCGAAUAUAUUUUUUAUUUUUUUGGAAAAAUAAAAAAAAACUGCAGAAGUUGUUACGGCAGAGUUAUUAAAAUUGAAACCACAAAAAAAUUAGGAUUAAUUUUAUACAGGUCUCUAUAAAUAUAAUAAAUGGCAAAUAUAUUUUAUGAAGUUCAACUUUCAUAUGUUAUCCCUGUAAAAGUUCUGAUGUUAUCAAAUAUGUCCCCACCGUUAAAAUCCGUUAGAAAAAUUUAAUUAACCAUAGAUUAAAUACUUAAAACCUUGGUUAGCUUUUGAUAUUGUUAUCCUCUUAUAUGGUUAGAGUUACUAUACUCUCAUGAGUAUAGAACUCUUUGUACUCAUAAGUUUUCGAUCGUUGGAUGAAGAAAUGUACGGUUAGGAUGAUAGUGGUCCCCGAUUAGUUUAAUAGUGGUCUAUUAGGGUUAAGUGGGUGGUUAGGUGAAUAAUAUGAUAGUGAGCUCGAAUAUAAUUUUUUUUUUUGAAAAAAUAAAAAAAACUGCAGAAGUAGCAGUACGGCAGAGUUAUUAAAAUUGAAACCACACAAAAAUUAGGAUUAGUUUUAUACAGGUCUCUAUAAAUAUAACAAAUGGCAAAUAUAUAUGUUAUCCCUGUAAAAGUCCUAAUGUCAUCAAAUAUGUCCCCACCGUUAAAAUCCGUUAGAAAAAUUUAAUUAACCAUAGAUUAAAUACUUAAAACCUUGGUUAGCUUUUGAUAUUGUUAUCCUCUUAUAUGGUUAGAGUUACUAUACUCUCAUGAGUAUAGAACUCUUUGUACUCAUAAGUUUUCGAUCGUUGGAUGAAGAAAUGUACGGUUAGGAUGAUAGUGGUCCCCGAUUAGUUUAAUAGUGGUCUAUUAGGGUUAAGUGGGUGGUUAGGUGAAUAAUAUGAUAGUGAGCUCGAAUAUAAUUUUUUUUUUUGAAAAAAUAAAAAAAACUGCAGAAGUAGCAGUACGGCAGAGUUAUUAAAAUUGAAACCACACAAAAAUUAGGAUUAGUUUUAUACAGGUCUCUAUAAAUAUAACAAAUGGCAAAUAUAUAUGUUAUCCCUGUAAAAGUCCUAAUGUCAUCAAAUAUGUCCCCACCAUUAAAAUCCGUUAGAAAAAUUUAAUUAACCAUAGAUUAAAUACUUAAAACCUUGGUUAGCUUUUGAUAUUGUUAUCCUCUUAUAUGGUUAGAGUUAGUAUACUCUUGUGAGUAUAGAACUCUUUGCACUUAUAAGUUUUCGACCGUUGGAUGGAAAAAUGUGCGGCUAAGAUGAUAGUGAUCCCCGAUUAGUUUAAUAGUGGUCCAUUAAGGUUAAGUGGGUGGUUGGUUGAAUAGUAUGAUCUAACGGACGGAAAUGGUCAAAAGAGUAGAUCUAACGACAGAAAACUUAUGAGUAUAAAGAUGCCUAUAUUUAUAAGAGUAUAGUAGUCGGACGCAAUAUUAUACUGUUAUGGCUUUUGAAGAGACAUUUGUGAUGACACAAUUAAAAAUAUAAACAAUUCUCUAACGGUUCUUUAACGAUAACAAAUUAGAGGAACAUAUUUAAAAACAUCUGAACUUUUGCAGGGGCAACAUAUGAGAGCGCUUUUGGUUUGAGUUAUCUAAUUUUAGAGAGUAUUUCGAUAUAUCCAGAUAUCUUGAAUUUCUAAAAGAGAUUACUACUAAUGCUGCAUUAGCGCGUUUAGUUUAAUGCAAUAAUAUAAUAAUUAAAUUGCAAUAUUUAUAUCAUUACAAUAUUUGGUUCAGUCAUUAAAAUUCAGUAAUCUUGAAUUCUCAUUAAAAUCUUAUCUAAUAUGAAAUAACNCAUUAAAAUUCAGUAAUCUUGACAAUAAAGUAUAAUCUAUUCUAAAAUUACUCUUAGCCAUAUAUGGCAAACUUUUUUUUUACUGUUUACAAAUAAUAUUUUUUUACUAAAUUUUAUUUUAAAUAAUUUAAAAUUUUAAAAUUUUAAAUUUCAAAUUUCAAAAUUUAAAUUUGAAAUUUUAAAUUUGAAAAUUGAAAAUUGAAAAUUAAAAUUCAAAAUUUAAAUUUAAAAGUUGAUAAUUCAAAAUUUUAAAUUAAAAAGUUUAAAAUGACAUAUUGAAAAGGUUUCUGGAGUUAGAGGGUAAACUUGUAGUUUAUAUAGCAUGCAAGAUUAGUCGCCUUUAGUAAUCUAAGAUAUAACCCCCCGCCGAACAGAUUACAUACCGGAUGAACCAAACGCAAUAAUCCUGAUAGGAUUGCCUGUAAUCCUGCUAGGAUAACCCGAAUCAAACGCACCUUGAAAGUUGAACUUUGUAGGAAUAUAUUUGCCAUUCACUAUGUUUGCAGGAAUCUGUAUAAAAUUAACCCAAAAAAUUAACACAAUUGCGCAACAAAUAUGAAACCUUUCGGCUCUUCGCGCCAAGCACAACAAUUGCCACCACAUUAUUUUGUGUUUCAUCAUGUCUUUACGCCGAGGAAAUUACGAGGAUUCCAACUUUCAUGUAUAAACAAGGACAAAUACAAGGAACGGCGGUAACUGCGCGACUGCAGUGUCAUUUCUUCCCGACCGUAACUCCAACUACGACAUUGUUUACCUGCAUUGCGCAAGGCGAAUUAAAGGGAUUCAAAAGUAAAAUCAGCUUUUCGCAAAAGCCCGGGCAAUAGUGAUACCUCUACCUAGAGGUAAAAGAUGCUUACCAAGUUGCCUCUUUCGUCCACCGACUUAGGGUUCUCGACGACAACUGUGACGUUGUUGCCUUGCGAUGGAGGCUGAAACAAUUCAGAGGUAAAAUAAAUAUAAAUAAGUAAAACUAGUACAGUCCAAUUUGUAUUCAAAUUUAAAUCACCAACUUGACUAAAAUAAAAUACAUACAGCUGAAGUUGACGGAUAUUCAUUAGGCCUCUGCGGCACGGAAGCAGGAGCCAUCAUAUUGGUCAUCUAAAGGAAAAAAAGAAGAAGAAGAAAAUAUUUAUGUUACUCAAAACUGAAGAAGAUAGCAAAAGAUACUGGAGAAAAUGGAAGAGGAAUGUUAGAAGAGAGGAGAUUUCGGCAGUACCCCGGUGUUUGUAACAUAAUGGCAUACGGCGCAUUUGACAGACGGAGCUCCAUAAGGAUACAUGAGAGUCGUACGGCACUGGGCACAGUUCACAUGAGCUACGCUAUUUGCUGAUCACAGGCAAAAACAAAAUUAAAACCUUCUAAGAAUGACACCGUUAUUAUAAAUCAACUUAUUGUCGUCCAAUUUGCGGUUUGCAUUUGAAUGAUCACAAAACUACUGAUAGGAUGCAUUGACGAGUACAGAUAUUCGGCAACUUAAGAGAGGUAAAAUUUCACUUUCGGCAAAACUAAAACAGUCGAAAUGUGUCCAAGAUGGUUAAUAGCAAAACUAUAAACUACGAGUUUCAUGAGAAUAUCUCUCUCACGUCGGACCAGCAUAUUCAGGGAUACUAUAAAGGACUAAAGUAAUUAAGAACAGAAGCUACAUUACUGGCCAGAAGGACAAAUAGAAUGUCAGGAAUAAUAAAUAAAAUAUCUUGUCAUCACCUGAUCUGACAUUAUUGAUCAUGUUACAGCAGGAACAUCUCACAGUUGCUGCACCAUGAGGAUACAUCAAUAAAGUUCGGCAACCACCACAUAUAAGAUGAGCUGUUUCAACUCCUACAAAAAGGUUCGAUGCAAUCUUUCAAACACAUGUUAAUCUCCUAAAUUGCAUUGUUGAACCAUGAUAGCAUAGGCUAAGAAAGUGAUAGAAGGGAAAAAUUUAAUCAACACCUUAUGAUUCUCCUAUGCACAAGAACCUAGGAUAUCAAUAUAUCAUAAUAUAAUUCUUCACUUGUAUAAGUAGUAUUGCUUUAUAGUUCUCGGAUUUUAUGCAAAGAAAGGCUUCAUCUUUUUUACCCUAAGACCACUGAAAAAACAAAAUGAAGGUGUUUUCCAGAUACUAAGAAACACUAUCACUCCUACCAACAUUCUUCAAGUAAAGAAGAGAAGUCAUUCUAAACUUUUGCUAAAAUAGGCUAGUAAACAAGCAAUACAAAUAAUCAGCAUUCUCAGAAGUAAGAAGUACCUGGAGGGGGCACUGAAGUUAUAGUACGACAUAGUGCACAGCAUACGCUAGUGGCUCCCCUGGGAUAAAGAAGCAUGCUCCUGCAUCCAUUGCACACCACUUGGCUCUGCAUACCUGUACAAUCAAUAUUCAACCAUAGUUAAGUGAUCAAAUGCAGCUGAUCACAUAAUAAUCCAAGCAUCACGGACGUAAAGCGGAUGAUAAGAACUUAGCGAAAUGAUUGUUAGUAAACAUGCUUUACAUUAAAUCUAUUGCAUAAGGUUGACGCUCGAUUUUGAUAAAACUCAAUCUGAAGCCACAUAAUUUGAUGAGCAAAAAUGUGAUCUGUGAUCAGAACUAUUUCAACAACCAAAGAAGAGAAACAAUUUGAGAUCCUUGAAUUAUGCAUCAAACAAGAAGCAUCAGAUGAAAGGUUUAGCUAAGAUACAUAUUCUGUGAGCAUCAAAAGUGCAUUGAAUUUUGUUUGCAAGGGUUUUGAACGCAUCAAAAUAAUCAUCUAAAUCUUCUUAUUAAAUGCGCUAACGUAUGUCUUAAGAAACAACUGCUUAUUUGUGUAAUGUGCAGUGAAACAAUUAAUCAAUCCUUGAAACAGCAAGCACUUCAUUCCUGCAGCUACUUGUAUUCAGAUUUCGAUAUUUAAUUCAAAAAAACGCAAGCUCUUAAAUAACAAAAACUACAAACCUAUGCCCUACGGCAAAAAUACAGGCAAAAAUGAUCCUUCUAAUACAACACAAACAAAAGCUUCUGAUCCAAAUCAUCUUAGGUCACAAAAAUCAAGUAAUUGACUAGCUUCUUAAACAUCACAAAUCCCCCCUCGAAUGAACAGGAUAUCUCAAUCAUAUGCAUUGAAAAAACAGUGCAGAUAUGCUAAUACAGCAGUAAAACGCCCAAAUUUACUACAUCGCACCAUCGAAUCCAGAUACUCGCAACAUAAACCACAAUUUACGAGAUCAAACUCUACAAAAAGCGAGCAGAAACCCUAAUUGAGCGCAGAAUCAACGUCCAAAAACAAAAAAAAAAAAAAACUCAAAUCGAAGAUCUGAUUACCUGUGUAUUACCAAAACGAAUCGAAGGGAAACCCCGUUCCGAUCGCGAGGAGCUGUCGUUGGAAUCGGCUCCUCUCCCGAUGCUCCGCAACGAAGAGCUUCCGCGGUAUACGAAGAAGAAGACGAUCAAAUUUUAUAGAUUUAUUUAUACUUUAUUUUAUUUAUUUAUUUAUUUUAUUUAUUAUUAUUAUUUUUUGGGUGAGAGGUAGAGAGAGAGAGAGGAGGAGAGAGAACGGGUUUCGUUCUCGCCGGUUUGAGACCAACUGCUAUUGCUGGAAUUUUCCAACGACGAGGAAAAUUCACCCAAAAAUAGGAAAAUAUUGCGUGCACCAAGUGUAUCCGUACAUCAAUACACCGCAACCGCAAUGUAGUGAGUGAGGUUUCCAGGGUGGUGGUAGGGAUGCAGAUGGAUCCGGAUUGAUGGAGCUUCUGCCCGAUCCGUCCCGAAUGGGGUGGUAAGUGGGAACAAAAUAUAUAGAAAAAUAUAAUCCGUUCUGAAUCCAUCCCGAUUUGCCAAGUAAAUGGAAUGAGAGGCGGGGGACUUUUUUUUUUUUUUUUUCCUUCAAUCCUUUGAUUCGUCAAAAAUUUGUCAAAAUUCAUCCCGAAUGAAGAGGUAAGUGGGAGUAAAAAAUAAAAUAAAAAAUAAUCCGUCCCGAAUCCGCUCCAUCCGACAAGAAAUGGAGCGGAAGGUGGGGGAACUCUACUGCCGCCGGAUCCGGCCCGUUUGCAUCCCUUGGUCAUAGGUGGUGGUGUAUGAGCUCUACUUAUACACCUGGUGCACAAUGCACCGGGUGCACGCAAUAACUAAUCCUCCUCAAUCCUAUUUUUUGCUUCCCCGAAAACCCCUAAUUUUCGAUUCCUCCACUCUCUCUCUCUCUCUCUCUCUCUCUCUCUCUCUCUCUCCCCCCCCAACAUCUCCCUCUCAGUGUCUCUCGUUCUCCUCUUCCUCAGCUUCGGAUCGACACGCAUGGCGCCCCCCGCUUCCCCGAGCAUCCCCCACACCCCUCUCGGGAACCCGCUUUCGCUAUUUCCCCCUCCUCCUCCCCGAUUCCGGGUUCCCCUUUUGUGCCCUACGCCCUUCGUCUCCGGAAGAGUAAGUAGGCUUCGGUGCGAGUUCGACGUGAAGGGUAAUGGUGCCCUCUCUGGCGACAUCGACCCUCGCCUCAUCGAUCGGGUAGGGUUUCGAUCUUAAAUAACGUUGGGGAAGUUGAUUCUGAUUGAAAUGUGUCGUGGGUUCUCUUCAAAAUGUGAUUUUUUACUUCGUGGGUUGUUGCGAAGUGUAAAUUUGGACUAAUUUUUGUGUUGGUUUUGUAAUUGGAGUUGCCUAUUUGGAGGUGAUAUUGAUUGUUUGUGGUAUGAUAGUGUAUUGUAUUGGACUUGAAUGAGUUCUAGUAUUGGCUUGUUUCUCUACGUUAGUACUCUCUAGAUUAGGGUUUAGGGUUUAAGGAGCUUCUUUUCCCUCUAUGAAGUGUUGGGAAUCAUUCCAUGCUGACUCUAACCUUCCUUUGCUAAUCACUGGGGAGCAAUUCUUAUAUCCCUAUAAGAUAUUAGCUAUUCAUGUUUUAUUGCUAGAUUACCUAUCUUCUCAAGUAGUGUACAUUCCUAUUUCUAACUUAUUAGUCAAUAAUACGCACACAUUCCUGACUAUUAGAAAAAAUUAGCAUUUUUUUAACUCCAUACUUAAGGCCGACAUUGAGUUUAGUGGUCCUGCAAAUUGGUGUACAGGAAACUGCGGCCUCUUUAUGUUCAACGUCGGUCAUAUGGCAACUAAAUUUGUUCACCCUUCUUAGUUUGUGAUAGAACUAGAAUUAUGAGAAAUCCUAAAUUAUUAUGAUCCUUGUUUACGCAGCAAAAAGCACUGGAAACAGCGAUGAAUGAUAUAAACAGUUCAUUUGGAAAAGGAAGUGUUACAAGAUUAGGCAGUGCCGGUGGUGCUCUAGUGUAUGUUUUUGAGCUCCUUCGCUUUCUAUAUGAAGAUAGUUUUUUUAUUCUUCAGAGGUCGUGCUGAUUAUUCUAGUUUUACUGCAGAGAGACUUUCCCGAGUGGGUGUUUGACAUUAGAUUUUGCUUUGGGUGGUGGUAUUCCCAAAGGAAGAAUAGUGGAGGUGGGUUUGUUACUUCCAUAGCUAAAUUGAACCUCUUUUGUUGGUCAAGAUAUCAGUUUAUAAUUUGAUUGUCAGCAUCAAUAUCUUAUUAUCCAAUUCUGGAAAAGAAAAAAAGAAUGAAAGAAUCUAUCGUGACGGUUACAGUACUUUAGCCAAAGUUGCUUAUCUUGUUUAUAUAUAUGGACCAUGCAGAAUAGGAAUGUCUAAACACAAAAUUGACUUGUCAUGGACAUAUUUCUACUACCAACAAUAUGCAUCCUGAAAAUAGUUUGACUAUUUGCAGAUAUUUGGCCCAGAGAGCAGUGGAAAAACUACCCUAGCUCUGCAUGCAAUUGCGGAAGUACAGGUUGGCAUUGUAUAUUAUUUAGCUGUUUCAAUUUUUCAGACCCAUAAGGAGAUAUUGCAUUCUUUACAACCACUUGAACUAUAUUAAUGCUAAUUAUGCUUUAUUGUUGUUAAAAUAUAGCGUAAUGGUAGUUAUACUAUGCAGAAGCUUGGAGGCAAUGCGAUGCUUGUUGAUGCAGAGCAUGCUUUUGAUCCAGCUUAUUCAAAAUCAUUGGGGGUAGACAUAGAGAAUCUGAUUGUUUGCCAACCUGAUAAUGGAGAAAUGGCAUUAGAAAGUAACAUCUCUAUUUCCUCCAUAUGAUUUCUAGCUUCCAGUUGCUUUUCUUUUGUUAAGAUUCAAUCUGUCCCUCUGUUUCUAUGUAGCCAGGUGUCUAUAUCAUUGCUAAUGUUUAUUAGUAACUCUGCUACAAUAUCAAUAAUUUUGUGAGAUCACUAAAUCUACUAUAAAGCAAAUCAAAAUUUUUAUCCCGACUGCCCAAUCAUAAUUUAUUUUGACGAAAUGAUGUGUUUAAUAUAUGUUAAGAUUGAAGAUAGGUAACUAAUUGCUUUAUUCGCAGAGAGUGGUGAUACAAACUAACUUUUCUUAGAGUACGUUCAGUGGAGAUGCUUUUCUUUCUUUCCCAUAUAGACUUCACGGACAGUUUGUAGGAAAAUGGCUACUCUUCAUACAUUAAAAAGGGUAAAGUGUGUAAGAGUUGGAAAUUUAAUGUACAUUCACUUAACUUUUUUGUUGGCAAUCAACUUAUGAUGUACAUGGGGAAGUUAGAUAGAUAAAAAACAUGUGAAAGUCUCUUCUUUAAGUAUAGUUUGACUGACAUUCUUCUAUCUCAGUUGCCGAUCGUAUGUGCAGAUCUGGAGCAAUAGAUGUCAUUUGUGUUGAUUCAGUCUCAGCUCUCACUCCAAGGGCAGAAGUUGAAGUAAGUUUUUGUUUUUUUUUUUCUUGAUAUGUUCACAUAUAUAACCCUGCAAAAUUAUCUAUUGGCAUCAACAUAUCCCGGCAAAAUGUAAACUUGUAUACCUCCUUCCUAAGAAAAGGUGCUGCUCUUUAAAAACUUGAGAUAAUACAAAACUAAUGCCUUUGAUUUGGAUCCUGAUGGUACUUUUGUAAGAAAGUACAAAACAGAUCAUUUAAAUAUAGUCCCCGUAAUUUCUUUUUUCGACCAUAAUUUAUAUGCUUGGUCAAUUAUAAUUCUGCAAUUUAUGUUUAGGGUGAGAUAGGAAUGCAGCAAAUGGGUCUUCAAGCUCGUCUUAUGAGUCAAGCUCUACGGAAAAUGUCGGGCAAUGCCUCGAAAGCUGGUUGUACUCUCAUUUUUCUUAAUCAGAUAAGAUAUAAGGUCUGAAUUUUAUUUUUUUCUUUUUCCUUUUUUUUUGGGAGUUCAUAACUUGAUGCCCUCUCUUGUUAAAGAUUGGAGUGUUCUAUGGCAAUCCCGAAGUCACUAGUGGAGGAAUAGCUUUGAAAUUCUUUGCAUCGGUUCGCCUUGAGAUUCGUCCUAUUGGGAAGAUAAAGUCUGUAAGCCCAUAAAACUAGCUUUUGGUUUAGUAGGCAAGUUGUAGUGCGAUGUCUAAAGUAAAUGAAGACUUUUAAUCAAAUAAAACUGGUUUAUUGUUCUUUAUGUAGGCAAAAGAAGACGAAGAUAUUGGUGUCAAGGUCCGUGUUAGGGUGCAAAAAAGCAAAGUAUGUAUACUUGCUUAGUUCUUAUCCUUCAAUUUAUAUUAUUUAUGCAGCAGAGGAAAAUUCUGAAAGUUCAACCGGAGAUUUUUGCGAGUAGUAGAUUUAGUUUUUGUGCAUUCUUCCAGGUUUUGCCAUGCUUUUUUUGUAAUGAGCUCUAACUUGUUUUUCUGCUUUGUCUUCUUCACAGGUCUCUCGACCCUACAAACAAGCUGAAUUCGAAAUCAUAUUUGGGGAGGGAGUCAGUAAAUUGGUCAGUAUAUAGUGACUUUUUUCUCCUUUUUGUUUUGUUUUUUAAAUGCUUGAGAAGCACCCUUCUUACUCUGUAAAAGUUAUCCUUCAGGGAUGUGUUCUUGAUUGUGCUGAAAUGAUGGAUGUUGUGUCGAAGAAGGGAUCAUGGUACAGCUACCGAGACCAGAGGUUUGCUUCCUCUGUUCAGAAUCAUCUCCGAAUCAUCUUAAAACCUAUGUCUCCAGCCAUGCUAUUAAUAGAUCCCAAAGGAUCUUUUAAUCUAUUCUACUGAAAUAUACAUUUCAAGUAUAGCAUCUUUGGUGCUGCUGAAAUGUCAUUCUAAUUUACUCUUACCAGUUAUUUGAAUAAGAAUAACUUGUGGAGGCUUUUUCAAGAGAAGUUAACUCUUGGAACAAAAGUUUCUGAUCCUUGCUUAACAACUGUGUUUAUUGCUAGUUUGUAUAUUUUGAUUCAUUUAUUAUUAUUUUUUUAAUUCUUGUUGUAACAAUUAAAUUUUCUAACAGGUUGGGGCAAGGCAGAGACAAAGCACUGCAGUAUCUGCGAGAGAAUCCUUCUAUCUGCAGCGAAAUAGAUAAGGUGCGCAAUCUCAGCAUUAUCUCAGUCUCAGAUACUUGCAUGAGAAUUGCAUCUCUCUCUCUCUCUCUGUCUCUCUCUCUCUCUGAACUUUUCUUGCUAGUACCUUUAAAACAAGCGUAAGUGGUUGGUAAAUCUUUUUUUUUGUAAAUUGCAUCGCUUUUUGCAGGCGGUGCGAGCAGUGAUCACAGAUGGGAGCAGACAUAUGAGCCUACUAGCAUUUGGCCAGCCACCGACCGCAGAAGAUGAGCGCGUCUUCGAAUAGUCACGAUUCUGAAAAGUAGCUCGCAACUAACACGUGAAGAUUAAUCACUUAUGUUCAGUGAUCUCCCAUCACUGAAACUUAUCGGCCAAGGAUCAUGGUGGAUCAACUGUAACAAUUGUGGGAUGCUGGGAAAACCGCGCGGCAAGUUUGUGAACUGUGAAAUCAUUUUGUAUGCUUCCACUGGAAAAUGCAGGCACUGUUGUAUGGAGAACCGGAUGUUCCAUGGAAAUUAGAGAUUACUUGUUUCUGCACUAAGCUGUUGCCAUGUAAAGGUUGUCUCCAUAUUUGACUAAAUUAAGGUCGAAAUGUAUCGAAAAGAUAUUUGAUCAGCUUAAAUUGAAACAUUCCUUGCAAUGCUAGGGGGGUGUUUGAUACUCGGAACAGUGUGAAAAAUUAUUUUUCAAGGCAAAAAUUAUAGAAAUGAUAUUUCUCAUGAAUUUUUUUUAAAAAAAUAGUUUUCCACGAUUUUUUUGAGUAACGAGACACUGGUUUUUCCGAAACUAUUCUUUAAGCUACCGUUUGGUUCGGAGUUAAAGGAAAAACUAGUUAUUCUAGGAAUAGGAUUAAGUUCGGGGUUAAGGUGGAGUUAGAGUAUUUUUGUGUUUGGUUGGGGGUUGGAGUUAGUCUAGAAUAGUAAAAAAUAGUGUUUGGUUGGAAUAAGUGGGAUAAGAAGGAUAGUGGGUUAUUAUAAAUAAACAAUAGUGUUUGGUUGGGGUUUGGUGGGGUUAGGUGGGGUUAGUUAAAUCGGGAUAACCCAUUUGAGGUGGGGUUAGCUAAUCCUACCUAUUUUUUAAAGUGUUUGGGGAUAAUAUGAGGGUUAAGGGGUUAUUCCACCUCCUAAAAUAAAAAGGAUUCGUGUUGCGGUUUAUCGCGGGAAACCAUUGAACUCAACCCGACCCGCUUUCUCCUUCCCCCGCAACACGGAGUCCCUGUUAAUUAAAAUUAAAAAAGAAAAAAAAAGAAAAAAAAAAAGACCAUCGAUCUCGUCGUGCCCGUCGAUGCCUUAUUCCAUUUUCCCGCGAUCGUUUCUCCCAUUUAAAUAUCCCCCACACUUCCCACCGCUUCUCCAUUCCACAACCUCCGCAUAGAAGCGAAGGGGACGAUUCCCCGAAGCUAGGGUUUCUUCCUUCUCCGAUUCCCACGUCUAGGGUUUCGAUUCAAGCUUCCUACCAUUCCUAUGGAGGCGGUGGUCGUCGAUGCCGGAUCCAAGCUCCUUAAAGCCGGGAUCGCCUCCCCCGAUCAGAAUCCCGCUCUGGUAUCGCAUCCUCCAUCCGAUUUGCUUCGUGUAAUUCCUGUUGUUUUCUUCUUCGUAGAUCGAGUUUAAUUGUUUGAUUCGAGUGUUUGGGCAGAUACUCCCGACGAAGAUGAAGCGGGUGUUGGAGGAGGGAGAGGCUGGGGAGGGGGAGGGUUCGGAGGUCGAGGAGGUGACUGUGGAUCCCGUAGUGAGGGGUUUUGUCAAGGAUUGGGACGCCAUGGAGGAUUUGCUCAAGCAUGUGUUGUAUACGCUGAUCGGAUGGGAGAUUGGGGAGGAGGGACAAAUCCUGUUCACCGAUCCUCUCUUCACCCCGAAGGUUUUGUUGAUGGGCCAUUGUUUCAUUAUUCAGUACUUUGAUGUUUCAAGUUGAUGGUUUGAUGCUGCUUCUUGCUCACUUGGAGCUUCUAGUUCAAAGAUUUAUAAUUCAUAGAUUUAUGCAUGUUUAUACAAUCUGGAUUUAGAGUAGAAAGUUUAAUCAUAAAUUUUAGAAUAUGAACCAGUUCUGUAUUAGUAGCACUUGUAGUAGCAAAAAUACUUGUGGAAGCAGCAUUUGGACGCUGUAGGGCUAACGCUGUAAAAGUAUUAGCCGUAAAAGUAUUAGCAAUAGUAACAAUGGAAGCAUUACUGGCAUUAUUAGCAGCGGAAUCAGUACUGUAACAGUUUAGAUAACUCGUUAUUUGAUUUUUUUGGAGUAACAUAUAGUCUGUUGCAUUUCUCAUAGAAAUCGGUUUAGUUCUCACUCUGAAUGUGACGUAUCUUUAAAUUUUUAUCCCAUGCAGGCUCUCCGGGAGCAAUUGGUACAGCUAAUGUUCGAAACAUUUAAUGUUUCAGGCUUUUAUGCCUCUGAACAAGCUGUACUAUCACUUUAUGCUGUAGGACGCAUCUCAGGAUGCACAGUUGACAUUGGACAUGGGAAGAUAGGUAUGAAUUCUAGACCGCUGACUAGCUGCUUUUGCAACUGUGUGGAGGUGAAAUUGUAUGUAGCUAUAACAGAUUAUGUUUGCUUGACUAAAACACCCAUAAAAAAUUCCAGAUACUACUGUGCUUGACAACUUAAAAACUGUUACUAAGAUGAUAAGAGAAACGUACUUUUCAUAUGAAGUUAAAAUGUAUGCAAUGAAGUGUUUCCACAAUAAUGGAACAGCGUAGGUUGGAACGUAUUUGGUUUAAAAGGCUGGAUUACUAAGAUCAUGCACUUUGAGAAGUGUGUCAAUACACUAUGUGAUAUCAAAUUUAGUUAACUGUCUCAUUUAAAUGACAAGGAGAGUCUAUUUGUCUGAAUGGUGAUAAGAAUGGAAUUUUAACCUUCUUUAAAGCAGGUAAAAUCUUUACAUACUUGAUUGUUAAUGGAACAAUGUUCUAUACAUAUGUAAGAUGAACAGUAUACAUAGUCUUGAUAUUCAUGAUAUUUCUAAAUUGCUCUAGCCUUCUCUUUGAUGUGAUCAGCUAGUACAAUAAACAUUUUCUGCUGUUCUAGAAUCUCUAACUAUAGAUUGACGAACUUUCUAUUUGAUCCAGAUAUUGCGCCAGUUUGUGAAGGUGCGGUUCACCAUAUAGCUUCAAAAAGGUUUGAAAUUGGGGGAAUUGAUUUGACAAAUUUAUUUGCACGAGAACUUCAAAAAUCCAAUCCGUUAGUUAACAUUGACAUUUCUGAGAUUGAGAAGUUGAAAGAGCAGUAUGCUUGCUGUGCUGAAGACCAAUCUACCUUUGACGAAACACAAAAUUCGUGUCAGACAGAGAAGCACACUCUCCCAGAUGGGCAGGUCUGAAAGUUGUCUCAAAAAUGCCACAUUUCCUUUUUUUGUAUUUGGACUAAUAAUCAACUGCUGUAAUAGAAUUACCCUUUUACCUCUUGAUGUUAUAUUAAUUUGUUUGUCUGGUGCUAACUAAAUAGCACAUGUUGGCGAUUGAAAUCCUGCAUUACAUCAGUUAGGUGGCAUUAGAUUAUACCUUCAUUAGUAAGAAAAAUUGUGUUAGUGCUAAAAGUUGCUCCUCAUUAGUAAGAAUAUCAAUGUCAUAUUUUUAUGCCUUUGCUCAGGCUGGUUUAGGUGCUUGUCUAUUUUGUGAUGAAACUAUUGCCUACAUAAUUUGUUGAUGCAGUAGCAAGCUUGAUCCAUAAGAGGUAGCUUUUCCACUAAUCAGGUUAAGAAUGUUAGGCCGGACGAUGGCCUGUUAGCAGGCUAAGGUCCAAAUUAUUUUGCUCUAUAUUUUUACUCACUUAUCUUGGUAAGUUAAUCUCUACCUUAUUUUCUCAGGGUAGCUUGUCAAAUACAAUUUAGUUUCUCCUUUUCUGGCUCAUAACAUAUUUACACCUUACAAUGCACUCUUUCCCUUCCAAUUUCUGGAAUGUACGGCAUUAUAAUAAUGCAAGCAAAAUAUGGUAUUAUAUUGGGAUUUUGCUAGUGAUUGCUCAUUUGUUACAUGAAGUCUUCUGUUAUUUUCACUUGUAAGUGAUCUUGUCUUUAUUUGCUGAGCAUAGUUUAGAUUAAUCCCCUAGCGAUUGUUAAAACCAUUCUUUCAGGUGAUAACAAUUAAAAGAGAGCGAUAUAUUGUUGGUGAAGCUCUCUUUCAGCCAUCUAUCUUGGGAUUAGAGGAGUAUGGACUUGUUGACCAGCUAGUCCGGAGCAUCUCAACCGUUUCAUCUGAGUACCAUCGACAGCUCUUUGAAAAUACUAUGCUCUGUGGUGGUACAGCAUCUAUGACUGGUUAGUUGUAACAUCCCUUCAUCUAAAUUUUUUGUUCUUUAAAGUUUUGCUAGUAGGAUUGGGUUAGCAGAACUCUUUUUGUCUAAGCACAUUUGCUAAUUUAGUUAGGAAAGGGUGCUUUAUGCAGAUCUGUGAGUCAUGUUUAUUGCUUAUUUUUAUAAAGUAACUUGUGUAUAUAUAUAUAUGUAUCAAACUUCUUUAGGUGAGGAAUCUUUUUGGAUUUGUCAAGAAUUUUGGUUCUUGAAAUGAAAUUAUGUUGUAUUCCCCAGUGUUGUGUCGUCUAAAUGUUUGUUGUCUAUCCGACAUAGCAAACACUGGAAUGACCUUUGCUUCGAGGAUUCAGUUGCUCCUGUUUUACAGGAGCAUAUUCGGAUUUCUUCCCAGGUAAGAGGAAGAAAUAAAAGGUCAACCUUUUGGUAGAGUUGUUAAAACCUAAUGCAUCAUGUUUAGGACAUGUACUAGGGGACUUGGGAAUUGAUGCUAAAAUCUUUGCAUGUCUGUGCUUAAUGUUUUAUUUUUAACAGUCCCAAGCCAGGAGAUAGAGGAGGGUCCUGUUGAGUAGAUUACCAGCCAGCAUGAAACUAUUGUCAAGAAACCAGGAAAAAUAUGUAAGUAGAUCUUUAGUAUGAUGAAUAGGAAAUCUUUACAGGAAAUAGUGAGGAAAGGUAUUGUAGCACUGAUUUUGAUGUAGCCUCUUGCCUUAAACAAAACUGCAUGUAAGUGCAGCAUCAAUACAGAGAACCCCAGAUAGUUGUGGUUAAAUGAUCAAAGUUUGUCAUCAUUGCUGUUGCUGUUGUUAUAUAUAUGUCUUAGUUUGUACUGAUGGUAGCUUUCCAUUAAAGUGUAUGUUAAUAUUAUUUUCUAUAAAGUUGUUUUCUACUGAUAUGUUACUAUAAAUUGUUUUUUGGUUACAUUUGCAUGAUUUUUUCUAAUGCUAUCAUCGUCACAUUGGAUAAAAAAAUAUAUCAGAAGGAUGCUGGAUUGCUGGAAUAAUCAUUAUCUGAAAAUAGAAGACGCACAGACUUCUAAUAGAUGAACCACUAUAUAUGGCACUAGUUAAUUAUAAUUAUUGAAGAAGCAUCACCACUCUUUUUCCUUUUUUUUUCUCUCUUCCAGACCUCCCCUCCUCUUUUUCAGUGAAUCUGUCUAGUACAGAGAUGUAUAGACAGAAUUCGGGAAUCAUUGCCAUCUUGAUUCUGAAUAGUAGAUCUUCUUACUGCUUUCAGCUAUCAUUCUAUAAUUGAUUAUGCCGCAUAUUAUAAGUUAAUAUAUUUACUGCUUAAUUAUGUUGAAUCUGUGUGCAUGUGUUUCGUCCAAUUUUAAACUUAUCAUUUAUUUCAUUAGUUCAGUUUUAUAAACUUAAAAACUUAAUACUCAAUUUCUGAAAUUCAUUAGUCAUGCUAUCAGCUGCUGAUCCUCUGCGGCCACUCAAUAUUUCUUCUUGCCAAUACAGUUAAUGGUGGACUCUAAGGUGUUUUAUCAUUUUUAGGAAAUCACCUCCAGCAUUUUUGCUGUAACCUACUGCAUUGCUGAUAAGUAAUUUGAUUAGUUAUCAGUUACUUCCCCUGAAGAGUUGUAUCACAUUUCUAUGCAACUUUACAGUGGAGUAGAUUCACUCGACACACUUGUUCCUUUCCUCAGGUUUUGAAGAGCGGUUCCAGAGAGAAGCAAAUCUAUGCACUUCGUCCAUCCGUCCGGCUCUUGUAAAGGUACAUAGAGUUUUUUUUUUUCAACAGAUGGGGCCUUUUUUUUUUUAAAAAAAAAAAAACCUAGUUUGAGUUUCUGCGGAAGUGCUAAUAGAAGAAGCCCUUAAAAUGUUGGCAUUAAAAUCUCUCUGAAAGCUUCAAAUUUCAGGCGUUAGAAGCUCAUUCUUGCUUGGCACUCCAGCUAGGAGCUCUAGAUAUUAUGUUUCUUGAAUAGCUAGCUUUUGUUUUUCAAUUAGGGAAGUUAUUUUAGAAGCUGGAAAAUUAAGCACAUAUUACAUUAACCAUGGAUUGAUUAAUACUAUCAAAUCCAUUUCAGCCGCCGGAGUACAUGCCAGAGAACUUGGCGAAGAACUCUGCUUGGAUGGGUGGCGCAAUAUUGGCCAAAGUUGUUUUCCCUCAAAACCAGCAUGUGACGAAGGCAGAUUAUGAUGAGACUGGUCCGGCAAUCGUCCACAGAAAGUGCUUCUGAGAUUAGCUAAUCGUGGCAAUACUCUCUGGUAACUGUGUACAACACACCUUUUUCUGCUCGCUAACUUAUGAAGAAUUGCUUCCACUUUAAAUAUACAAUACUUACCAGAAUGCUCGUCAAACUGUUUUUUGUCUCUGUUUUCUCUACCAAUUCGCAUUUUAUGCUUGUAGAUUCUUACUCUCAAGAAUUUGAUUUACAUCAGGUUUAUUUGCUAUUCAGUAUAGGAUAAGAUCUCAUUCUUUAACUGUUCUCCUUUUCUGAAAACUCUCCCUACCAUCUUAUCCACAAGUGCCUACGACAUCAGCUUAAGCCAAUAGAAACCUUACACCUGUAAACUUGUCUAGGACCAUAUGAAAAAAAAGAAGAAGCAGCUCUCUUGUCCCUGCUAUCUUUUCGUUUUCAACCCUGGAGAAAUGCCAAACGACUAGGCACGGAGAUGGACCAUUCUUUGUUUCAUGUACCUAUCAUCCCAUCUUUUGCAAGAGGUUAAUGAUCCUCGCUUGUCGGAAGAGGUUGAUAGACCAACAGAAAUGGGAUGGGUGGAACCAGAUAGAGUUAUAAACUUUUGAACAAAAAUGCCGAGAUACUGUAACUUCCUGGGAUUCUAUGCUCCCUCUUCGUAAGCCACUGUUCAGACAAUUCCGAAAAUUAACCAAAAUAGACAUUAAGGACCUGUAUUGUUGUCGGGACUAGUAAACACGAGAUAAUUGUGUUCGGUGUGUGCUGCUUUUGGAAUUGCAUCAAAAAAGAUUGAUGCAUGCUCGCAUGAGAGGUUGUAGGUUGUGGACCUGCUUGCAGGAAUUUAGUAGUACUUGCUCCUGUUAUUGCCCCCCCAAAAAGCUCUCACUUCUAGCAAUUGAAGGUCAAACUUUCUGACCAUGCAACUGUAGCAAAUCCCGUCCUGUAUUCCGAAAACAUUGAGUCCUUAGGUUUUUUUUUCUUUGAUCAACUUGCAUACUUCUAAAAUCGCAUACCUGGUUGCAUUUCACUGGCAGGUUCACGAAGUAAUCACAAGAUUAAGGUAGAAACCAAGCAAUUCAAAACUGUGAGUUUGUACACACUCGUAGAAGUUGUCUUGAAAGUGCUUUUGUCGAUGAUUGGUAGUUGGAUUAAUCGUUAUUCUAAAUAUUGCUUUUCCCACAAAUUCCUGCUAUCGCUGUGAUAUAAACACAAUCAAUUCAAACGUUGAAAUUCUUAUCUAGUAAUAUCUCUCUCUGGUUUAAUUAUUAUACUUUUGUGGCUUUGAUCCUGGGUUUUGGACUGAAAAACAGAUCUCUUAAAUAUAUUCUACCAUUUUGCUAUUUUAAAUCUAUUUUUACGCGGCAAUGCCUUGACAGAUGAAGUAUCAACCAGGUAUGAAUCACACGCAACAUUUUUUUGUCUCCACCAUAUUAACCCUUGCCGGAGAGGAAUUUAAACAUGACUUGGGAUUUAGGUUUGGGUUCUAAAAUAAGAUCUGAGACAGCUUAUUUGGUUUUGUAUUUGGAUCAGGUUUCAUCUUUGGCUCAAUUUGAGCUCGGAGCCAAGUUAAUAGGUUAGAUCUUUCACAAUUGCAUAUCUUCUUUGUUUGUUUCUUUUUCUUUUUCUUUUUUUAUCAUAGGCGCAUACCUCUGAUGUUUUUGCUUGGUCCAAGAAUCGAUCUUGAGAGCAUGUGGGUAACCCUUCAAAGCUAGCCAAUUAGGUUAGAGCUCGGUGGUAUGUAAUUGCAUAUCUGAUUCGAAGUCGUUAGUGGUUCCUUUGCUUUCUGAAUAGAUGCUGGGUGAUUAGAGAAAUUAAAAGUGGAGUAAUAAAUAGCACGAAUUCGUUAAUUGAAUCCUGAAUACGAGCCCAGCAAGUUCUACACACAUUGCAGAGAAAAGGUAGGUGCAGGAAUAUUUGACUACUUUCCAUAGUUACAAAAGAGUUGAAGUUGUGUCCUCUAAACUUUGAAAAGCAACAGUGAAAAGGCCUGGGCGGCUAAAAGAUCCUGAAUGUUUGUGUGUUAAAUCGUUGGAAACGAGUUCUUGACUGCCAGAAGCUUAAGCUUUACAUGCAGUAAGAUGCUUCUACUGUAACUUGGAAAAAAUCCGUCUAAAUGCUGUUGAUGAGUUGAUAGUUAUGUGGCUUAUGCUAAUUGAUUCACGUGCAUGUCUUAAGCAUUGUCACCAAAUCACCAAUCGUGUGUUAAGAACUAAAAAAGAAAGAAAGAAAAAAUUAACGUAUUAAAUCUUUCCAUUUUACUGUAGCUAAAACAGUUGAGUCAAAAUUUGAGUUCUAACUUGAAAAAAGAAAAAAGAAAAAGUAUCAAACUCAACUCCAGUAGUAUAUUUGAUUUUUAUCUCAUAGGCAACUAAUGCGAUUACUGUGAGUUCCUAAACCGAAGAAUCCGUGUUUGCAAAACGCGAGAGCAAAAACACGGCAAAACAGAGGAGACACGGAGGAUGCGAACAGGAGGGAAAAGAAGAAAAGCUAAACGACAACAGGAUAAGGAAGAUACCUCAUCCCUGUAGUCUAUAUAUAUAUAUAUAGAGAGAGAGAGAGAGAGAGAGGGAGAGAGAGAGAGAGAGAGAAUUGAGCUUCUAUGCUUUUAAAUGAUUUGUGCUAUUAAGUUUUGUACCUUAGAUUAAAAAAUAUGCAGUUAUAUAUGAGUCCGGCUCCUAUGCUAUUAAUAGCACGAAGCACUUAGUGCUACUAAGUUUUCCAUCGCUAGAUCUAUCCUUUUGAUCAUUUUCAUUCGUUAGAUCAUACUAUUUAAUCAACCAUCCACUCAACCCUAGGGGGUCCACAUCAUCCUAGCCGCACAUUUCUUAAUCCAAUGGUCAAAAACUUGGUAGCACUAUAUAUAUAUAUAUAUAUUCAGAAAGUGACCUCUUCACUGAGGAGAUUAGGUCUCUCAGUACACCCAGGAAUGAGACCAUGCGAUCUGUUUGAUAUCGACCUACGAAUCUCUCUCUCUCUCUCUCUCUCUCUCUCUCUCUAUAGCAUGACUCGUUUGGUCUCUCUUUGUUGGCGUGCAAAAUUUAAAGUAUUAUUAUUAUUACUAUAGUUACAUUAGAAUAACCUGUUCUUAUUGAUUGUUCAUAGAAUGUUGUUUUUAGCGAUUGUUGAUGUAUUAACAUAUAUGUUGCAGCGGUAUGCAUGCAUGUGGGAUUUUUUGAUAUAUAAGUAUUUUUAUUCAGGUUGCUAAUAGAACGCGUUGUCGAUCCUACUGACUUAGAUUAUGACAUGUCCCUGCAUAUCAUUGUUUGUAAAAACUUUCGUACAACCCUUAAUACCAAGCUGGUCCUAAGAAUAGCUUGUUGGGGAGCUCUAGAUUAUUAUAUUCGUGACAUUUAACUAAAUAAUAAUAAAGAAAUGGAACAAGGAACAUGGCGCAAGUAACAAGACACUUGAUUACAUAGUUGUAAUUAAGCACAACAAAUUCUUUCUCGUGAUCCCGAGGGGUUAACAGCUCUAAUUCCUACUCUUUGACCCAGCUUUACAUAACCAUGCAUAACAUAAUAAGGUGCUUAUUUUUGCAACAGCUUAGAUUAAAAAUAUUAUUGAUGAAGUUAAUAUUGUAAACAUAAUAAAGAUUGGUUUAGAUUUUUUGAGCUGAUGUUGUGUCUGUUAAAAUAAUAUAAUAGAAUCAAUUUUUUUUCCAAAAAUUUACGGUAUUUCUAAUAUUUAUAUAUAUUCAGUGUUUUUGAUAAUCCUAAUAGGUGAAUUUGAAUUAAAUAAGAAAAAAUUAAUUAUGUUAUAGGUGUAUGACGGGCCUCUAACUCGGUAUUUUUAAUUCUGAUACUAUAUCAAAUUGUAUAAAAUAACUGUUGUUUUUUAAAAACUUAAGCGGUUAGAAAACAACGUCUCUAAAAUUUAUAUUCAGCAGCGCAACAUUAAUUGUCAUAUUUGAAAUUUAAAAACUGAAUCAAAUGCAAUAUUAAUCCAUAAGCAGCGAUAGAGUGUACCUUGGUUAAUUAAAACUCUUUCUUAUUUGUUAUAGUUGCAGGUACUAUAUAUGAUAUCAAAUUAUGUUGGUUUCGUAUAACUCCACGACAAAGUAAUUAAUUAUACACCUAAGCUAAAAUGAUUCGAUCAUAAGGGCUACUCACACGAUAACAAAAUAAAUAUAAAAUGCUUGCUUAAUUUCUUUUUUUAACUCAUUAGUUUACCGUUUAUAUAAGCUAUUUCUUUUUCCUUGUCCUUUUUUUUUUUUUUAAAACUUCACAAAUAAGCUGUAAUUCUUUUACAUAGGCACACAUCCAUACUCUUAUAUGAAUCCCCAAUGUAAAAUGAUGAUGUGGCAAACUCUCUUUUUUUUUAGUUUACGUUUCUUUUCCAUUCUAAAUGCUCAACCCUUCACCUCUCCACAUUUAAUUAAAUGCAUCAUAUUCCACCAAUUAGUUUCUUCUCCAUUCCAAAUGCUCAACUCUUCACCUCACCAUAUUUAAUUAAAUGCAUUAUAUUCCACCAAUUAGUGAGCUUUGUAACUCCAAUCCACUCCCCUCCACCAUUAAUCCCCCACCAUUUUUUUUUUUUUGCAUGACAUGUUAUUUUCCAUGCAAAAAAGAAUAUUAUCAUCUAAUCUCUCACCCCACACUCAUCCAUGCAAAAAAGAAUAUUAUCAUCUAAUCUCUCACCCCACACUCAUUUCCUUCUCUCUAUCUCAUUAUGUUAACAAAAAUUAUGAGGAUGAUGAAGAAGAAGAGCAUGCGAAGAACGUUGUCUCCUUCAAGAAGUAUCGUCCUGUAAAGUCCAGUCGUGGCCCAUAUAAGUGCUCGCUGGGCCGGUCUGCGCCGGAGCCCUCACUCGCCGUGAACCGCCACCGCCUCGGCUGCCUCCUCGCGUGGCUCGCGCGCGCCCACAACUGGGCCGAGGGGAGCGGUGUCCUAGCCUCCUCUUUGCGGGCACGUUGCGCGGGAGCUCCUCAAGAAUCGCAGGAGGUAAAUCAAAUUGUUUAAGAAUUAGAAUUUCUGUGUUUGAUGUGAUGGCAAGACUGUAUCGGUUUAGAUAUCGCAGUUUGGUGAUGCAGAUGAUGUGUUUGUUCAUAGGUUACAAUGGAAAUCCAGAAGUGACUCGACGCGGGAAACAACUACUAGCUGAAGAUUAAGAAGAUGUAUGAGAUUUGGAUGAGUAAAAGAAGUGCUCCAAAAAAGUAUUAGUUUUUUUAAGAUUGAUGUUUUUUGUUUUAUUUUUCAUUUUAUGACUUUUUUUGAGUAGACACCAUUGUGGGCAAAAUUUCUUUCGUAAAUUAAAAAGUAUGAUGUGGAGACUGGAGCCUGAAACCCCACCCAAAAUUUUCUUAAGCCAGAUACAUUAAGUUAUUAUUUAUGUAUUUCAUAUGCUUCUAGCUAUAAUUUUAUUUUUUUAAUAAUUAAAUUUAGCCAUGCAAAUUAACUGUGCUUAACAUGGUAUAGCUUUCUAUAAGCUGUAAAUAUAAAUUUUAUUAAAAUUUUAAAAAAUUGUUUCUAUUAUCUACUCACUGCAUCGCACGGGUCUCUACACUAGUUAUGGAUGACAACGGGAAAGGGUAACCUCUAUCCUCGUGGGUUUUUAGAAUCUCCAUCCAAUCAUAGUUUGAAGACGAGAAUACCGACGAAUCAAUAAACUAGUUUGCUAUAGAUAAGCAGAUACAUCCAAUAUGAUCAUAGUCACAAUUUACUAUGUGAAACAUGCAAGUGCAGCGCACUAGUGUUUUAUUUUUAUUAUUAUUUUUUUUUUUUUUUUGAGAAAUAUGUGUGAUAUUACUAUCCGGCUUUUGAUUAUUUCAUUUGAAAGUAAACUUAAACCUCGAGUAUCAGCCACCAAGCCUUUUAUUGACCACUUGCGCUAAGACGGUCAGUAAUAAUUUCCUACAUUAUAUAAUAUAUAUAUAUUAUAUAUAUAAUAUAUAUAAUAUAUAUAGAGAGAGAGAGAGAGAGAGAGAGAGAGAGAGAGAGGAGAGAGAGAGAGAGAGACCUCCUAAUACUUUUCGAAAGUACGGAGGGUCCAUAUUUGUAAGUUGUUUUUGAUGAUGGAUAUCCAAUUCGGCGAUUAGUUCUAUUAGACAUAAUCUACACUAUUAGAACAAUUAAAAUUCAAAUUUUAUAAUUUUUGACUUUAUUUCUCUAGUGACACAAGUAGUCUAAAAUGAACAGCUAAAAUAAAAAUUUUAUAAAAAUAAUAACAAAAAUUCAAAAUUAAAAUCAGAGUAUUGACCUUGUUAUUAUAUUAAGUAAUUUUUUUUAUUAAAAAUUUCAUGUAAUUUAGAUGUUUCGACACUGUGAACUUAAAAGCGUGCUACAUUGACCGUUAAAACAAUCAUUUUUUAGACUUUUUGAUCACUUGAUAAAUGAUGUCGAAAAAUUAUGAAGUUUGAUUUCUAAAUAGUUCAAUAGCGUAGAUUAUGUCUAAUGGACUGAUCGUUAAAUCGAAUGUCUUAUUUAUUUAAAACAACUUACAAAAAAAGAAGACCUCCGUACUUUCAAAAGCACAUGAAACGUACUAUAAUAUAUAUAUAAUAUAUAUAUAUAUAUUUGGAUAAAAAUAUAGAAAACUUAUAUCAACUAUACUCAUUUUGACCUGACUAUCUAACCAUUAAAAAUUAUGGAUUUUGAAUCCUUUCAGUCACUAAGUAUAAUAUACAAAAAAUCGCAAAAUUAUUUUUCUAAAAACUUCAAAUACGCUAGAUCAAGUCUAACGGAGCCGAUCGUCGAUUCGAAAUUCUAUCAUCGAAAACGGCUCAGGAGCACGGGGCCUCCGUGCUCCUGUAAGCACAGCAGUCCUAUAUAUAUAUAUAUAAUAUACUAUAUAUAUAUAUAUAUAAUAUAUAUUAUUGAGAAUAGUAUAUACUAUUCCGCUUUUGAUUAUUUCAUUUGAAAGUAAACUUAAUACCUCGAGUAUCAGCCACCAAGCUUUUAUUGACCACUUGCGCUAAAGCGACGGUCAGUAAUAAUUUGCUACAUUAUAUAUAAUAUAUAUAUAUAUAUAUAUAUAAUAUACUAUAUAUAGAGAGAGAGAGAGAGAGAGAGAGAGAGAGAAUGAGGAGAGAGAGAGAGAGAGAGACUCCUAUACUUUCGAAGUACGGAGGGUCCAUAUUUGUAAGUUGUUUUUGAUGAUGGAUAUCAAUUCGGCGAUUAGUUCUAUUAGACAUAAUCUACACUAUUAGAACAAUUAAAAUUCAAAUUUUAUAAUUUUUGACUUUAUUUCUCUCUAGUGAACAAAGUAGUCUAAAAUGAACAGCUAAAAUAAAAAUUUUAUAAAAAUAAUAACAAAAAUUCAAAAUUAAAAUCAGAAGUAUUGACCUUGUUAUUGAUAUUAAGUAAAAUUUUUUAUUAAAAAUUUCAUGUAAUUUAGAUUGUUCGACACUGUGAACUUAAAAGCGUGCUACAUUGACCGUUAAAACAAUCAUUUUUUAGACUUUUUGAUCACUUGAUAAAUGAUCGAUCGAAAAAUUAUGAAGUUUGAUUUCUAAAUAGUUCCAAUAGCGUAAGAUUAUGUCUAAUGGACUGAUCGUUAAAUCGAAUGUCUUAUUUAUUUAAAACAACUUACAAAAAAAGGAAGACCUCCGUACUUUCAAAAGCAUCAUGAAACGUACUAUAAUAUAUAUAUAUAUAUAAUAUAUAUAUUGGAUAAAAAUAUAGAAAACUUAUAUCAAACAUACUCAUUUUGACCUGACCUAUCUACCAUUAAAAAUUAUGGAUUUUGAAUCCUUUCAGUCACUAAGUAAAUAAUAUCAAAAAAUCGCAAAAAUUAUUUUUCUAAAAACUUCAAAUACGCUAGAUCAAGUCUAACGGAGCCGAUCGUCGAUUCGAAAAUUCUAUCAUCGAAAACGGCUCAGGAGCAGGAGGCCUCCGUGCUCCUGUAAGCACAGCAGUCCUAUAUAAAUAUAUAUAAUAUACUAUAUAUAUAUAUAUAAUAUAUAAUAUAUAUAUAUUAUAUGAGUCCGGCUACUAUACUAUUGAUAGUAUCAAGCCCUUGGUACUAUUGAGUUUUUGGCCGUUAGAUCUAUCCUUUGAUCAUUCUAUCUGUUAGAUUAUGCUACUAAACCAACCACCCCACUCAACCUAGGUGGCCACUAUAAUUUACCGGGACCACUAUCAUCCUAACCGCACAUCCUUCAUCCAACGGCCAAAAACUCAAUAGUACUAAGAGCUUGGUACUAUAUAGAGUCCGGCUACUAUACUUUUAUGAGUAUGGCUCUCCUUAUACUCAUAAGUUUUCGGCCUUAGAUUUAUUCCAAUGAUCAUUUUCACCCUUAGAUCAUACUAUUAAACCAACUACCCACUAACCCUAAGUAAACCACUAUCAUUCUAAUUAGGAACACCAUCAAUCCUAACCACCACAUCUCAUCAAUCACGUUAAAAAUUUAUGAGUACAAGGGUUAUAUACUCAUAAGAGUAUAAUAGCCCUAGCAUAAAUAUAUAUAUAUUAUACUAUAUAUAUAAUAUAUAUAUAUAUAAUAUAUAUAUAUAUAUAUUAUAUAUAUAUAUAUAGUAGGUCUUUGGUGCUAUUAGGAGCACGGAGGCCUCCGUGCUCCUAAGCCUGUUUCGAUGAUGGAACUUUCGAAAUACGACAUCGGGCUCCGCUAGACUUGAUGCUAGCAUAUUUGAAGUAUGCUAGGAAAUAAUUUUUUGUGAUUUUUUCGAUAAUCAUCUUACCUAACAAUCGAUAAGGUUCAAAAUAUCAGACGGCUGAAAAUUAAAAAUCUCAUAAAAAGUGCUGAUAUAGCAUUAAAAUUUGGAUCAAAGAUAUUGAUUCUGCUGUGUAAAUAUAUAAAAGUAAUUUUCUAUCAAAAUUUCAUAUGAUUUUUUUUUGAAUAUUCUACACGUUAACACUGCAAAACGAAUAUACAUCAACUAAUUAAAAAUUAUUGAUUUUGACUACUUUCGAUCGCUAGGUAAAUGAUCCGAAAAAUCACAAAAAUAUUUUUGAAGAUAGUUUCAAAUACGUAGUUCAAGUUUAACGGAGCCGGAUGCGUGCGAUUCGGAAGCUCCAUCAUCGAAAACGGCUUAAGAGCACGAAGUCCUCCGUCCUAAUAGCACACAAGACCUACUAUAUAUAUAUAUAUAUAUAUAUACAUGCUAGGGCUACUAUACUCUUAUGAGUAUUGAAAUCUUCGUACUUAUAAGUUGUUUUCAAUGAUGAAGCUUCCGAAUCGACGAUCCACUCCGUUAAAAAUGAUCUAGAGUAUUUGAGACUUCUAGAAAAUAAAUUUCGUAAAUUUUCAAAAUCAUAAUAAAGUCCAUCAAGCGGGUAUAAAAUGAACGGUUAAAAUCGAACGAUGUCCUAAAAAUGCAUGAUCGGAUCCUUUAAUUUAAGAUCGGAGUUAUUGAUCUUUAUCUAGUAGUGAAUAGAAUUUUCUAUCAAAAUUCAACCAAUUCCGAUUAUUUUACACCGUUAAAAUAGCAAGUAUUCCAUACCGACCGUUAAAAAUUGUCAAUUUUAUGACCUUUUGAUCGUAAGGUAAAUGAUGUCAAAAAAUUAUAAAAUUUGAUUUCUAAAAAUUUUAAAUGCUGUAGAUAACAUUUAACGGUAUGGAUCGUUGAUUCGGAAGUUCUAUCAUCGAAAACGACUCAUGAGUACGAAGACGAUCGUACUCAUAAGAGUAUAGUAGCCGGACUCUAUAUAUAUAUAUAUGUACACUACUCAAAGAAGCUGAAAUAGUCACGGGGCCCCAAGAAUCAAAUUAAAGCAGUAAUUAAAGAUUCAAAAUUAACAAAAAAAAAAGAAAAGAAAAAUUAAAAAAAGAGAGAGAGAGAGAAAUUUAGAGAUGAAUUGGGUCAUGUGGUGGGUCGGAGUCGGGCUCAGAGAAUCCCACUUAAAUCCAACCGCUCCGAGACAAAACCAAGUCCAAAAAACACACAGCGGGCACAGUAAUAAGCGAGGAGGUGGUACAUACAUGCAUAGCCCAUCGUCUGCAUCUGAACACUCCCUCACCAGGGAUAUAUUAUUGCACGGACCAUGUUCCCUGCACCGGAGAGCGUCGACGUAAAUAAACCAACCGUUAGAUAUGAUCUAUAACUCCUGAAUGAUCAUUAAUUUGUGUAUUAGACUCGAUCGUCAUUAAUUAAUUCUCGUGUAUUAUCUAUAUAUAUAUAUAUAUAUCUUGGAACAUAUAUAGACUUUCUAAAUAUGUGUUCAAGCAAUAUAUAUAUAUAUAAUCUCGAUAUAUCGAUCUUCUAAUUAGCAGUAGCUUUAAACUUCUACUUCUACUUUCUAAGACAAUAAAAGUACCAGACUAACCACUUCGCGCGCUAACGGUGACAUGUUAUAUUAUAAUCUAUAUGACACUAUUACUAUAGAGUGUAGUACUAUUUGAAAAAUUUUUUAAGGUAAACUUCAAAUAUCACCCUAUGUGGUUUCGCACUUUCUUACUUUAGUACUAUGUAGUUUAAAUUGUAUUAAGUUAGUAUCCUGUGGUUUCAUUUUUUCUUUUCGUCAGCUCCUCCGUUAAUAUUUCGUUAAAUUAUAUACAAAAAACUUUAGGUACUCCAUCUAGAUUUAUCGAAUAUUCACUUUAAUAUCUUUUAAUUUUAAUUUUGUCUCUGAUUUAACAAAAAAAAAUAGUGAAAUGAAUAAUAAAAAGAGAAAAAUAAAAUCACAAGAUACUAAAUUGAUAUACUUUAUACUAUAGGGUACUAAGGUGAGAAAGUGUGAAACCACAGAAAUUGUAUAUAUUUGAAGUUUUUCCAAAAUCGUAUAUAUAGGGAAAUACUUUAGCUAUAUAUUACAAUCUUAUGUAUGAAACUCAGAAUUUUAUCCCUGCUUUCCAUAGAGAGUAGCUCAAAUUAAGUUAUCUUUUAUCAAACUCUCCACUAAUUAAUUAUAACAGCAGAGAUCAAAGCAAACCCUAAGAUCUCAUAAUUAACUGUUUAAUUAGUUUCGGAGACUCUGCAUGUGUCUGUACAUAAUAUACAUAGACUAUGGUACAUGCAAUAUAUAGUAUCUCCACAUGCACCAGGGAAGGUGAACACACACACACACACACACACACACACACGCAUACUUAAAUUAAUUUCUAAGAUUCUCACCCUCCACAUACGGCCGAAGCCCACCCCUGACACUGUUUGCCAGCUAAACCCUAGCUAGCUAGGGUUUCCCUUUGGAAGGGUGUGUGCUUUUAUUCCCCCUCUUUCUUUUUAACUUUUUAUUUUUUUUAAAUUUAAGUAAGAACACUGAGAAGGGGAACAGUGGUCAUCAUGGCUAGGGUUUUUGGUGGUGGGUCACUUUGCAUCUCUUGUUCUCAUGAGUUUGUGAAGUACUCAUUAGCUGUAGGGUUUUGGGCUUAUUUAUACCCUGUAGGGGAUGUUAUAAGAGUGGAGAACGAACGUAUGUGUGCUACUACUCCCUUCAUGUUUACUCCUCCCUCCUCUCUCUUUAUCCCUUUCCUUUAGAGAGAGAGAGAGAGAGAGAGAGAGAGAGAGAGAGAGAGAGAGAGAGAGGGGGAGGGAGAGUUGCAUGGUGGGUUUUACAGGAAGAAAGAAGAAGAAGGAGAAGGAGAGUAGGGUUUGAUAAGUGUUGGUGUGUGUAUACAUAUAAAGCAUGCAAAGCAUGGAACUGGUUAAGUAAUUAGUUAGGUUUAUGAAGGAAUUAUGUAGAGAGGUGCACUUGUUCUUGUGAUCAUGAUGAGUACUUUGUGGAGUACUCUUAUAUGUUAGAGGACUCUUAGGGGUUUGGUUUUGUAUAUGGUUCUCUAUUUGUUAUACCUUAUAAGGUUUCUAUUCCUUUUAUCUCUAUUGCAUGAGGCCAGGGUUUUAGAUGAAGAAGAAGAAGAAGAAGAAGAAGAUAAUGAUGAUGAUGAGAGUUUUAUGUUAGUGUUGGUGUAACUACAUACAUGGUGCAUAUAUGCAUGUUGUGGAGUGGAGUUAAAUAAGUGUGUUAGUUGAAGAUGGAGGAAAUGAAUUAAUGGAGGAGGGAAACAAUAGAGGUGAUCAAAAUGGGGAUGUGCCUGGCUCCCUGUAUGCCACCCUUGUAGCUACCAAUCUAAGCAUGUAGAUUGGCUACUAUGGUUGGCGUGCGAGGAGCCAAGCAUGUCCUUCUCUCUCUCUCUCUCUCUCUCUCUCUCUCAUGCAUUUUUUGUUUAUGUACUUGCAAGUGUGUGUUAAAGGGCUUGAACAAGCACAAAAGCUUAAGCUGAUAGGUAGAGAUUGAUACUUUGCUACUUACCUUUUUUUUUCUAUAUACUAGUGAAUUUUGUGUGUGUGUGUGUGUGUGUUAAAGGGGUCGAACAAACACAAAAGCUUAAGCUGGUAAGUAGAGAUUAAUACUUACGUACUUAAUUUUUUUCCUUUGUACUAAUGAAUCUUUUGUGUGUGUGUGUGUGUGUGUGUUAAGGGCUCGAGCAAACACAGAAGCUUAAACUGAUAGACGGAGAUCGAUACUUAAUUUUCAGAUUUUUCUGGGUUCAUAUGGGGGUAUUAUUCUUCCUCGGAGUGUUAAUUAAUCUCCAAUAAAUGGGUAAGUUUGAGUAUUUGAAGAUAUCUGAAUAUUAAAUUAAUAUGCCUUACCUUUGAGGUUAAUUCGUAGGUCAUUAUAUAACUUCAUGUUUUAGUUUUUUUUUUUUUUUUAAUUUCAUAUAUAAGGUUUGGUAGGCAAAUAUAUAUAGUGUUUAUAAUGAAGUUUUGGAUAACGAAUUAUUUAGUGCGUUUAGUGUUAUUACUUGUGUUCAAUUAUCAUAGAUCGAUGAAGCAUAUGAAAUAUGUUAAUAGCUAUGUGUAGAACCUUAAUUAGGUAUUUUUCCUUUGCAUAUCCUUAUUAGUUUCUUGUUCAAAACAUCAGUGUUUACAACUAAGAAAUAUUAACUAAUCUCAUAUUCUAUGAUAUGUUAAAUCACCCUAAAAUCAAUCGUAUUAUCCUAAAUAUUGAAGUUCUUUUUGGAUAUGAUAUCAUGAAGAUGUUGCAUUACUCUAGGGCUCUUGUUACAAAUAUUUGAGCUCUACAAAUUAAUGAAGCCGCAAUAAGCCAUGCAUAUAUAUAUGUUUCUAUUAAGUGCAGGUACAUAGUCAUGUCACUUCCGAGUGUAUUUUGGAAAUGAAAAAUUAAUGCGAGUGCAGGAUUAAUCAAAUUCUCCAUCAUCUACACGAAAGGGAUUAUUCAUUAUUCUACAAAAAGAUACGAGUUAGACGCAUGGGCUCAGAUGGAUUGUGGUCGAACGAGCUCGAUUUCGAUCAUACAUGUGUUUGAUGGGGUUUUAGAUUGAAAAACUGGGUUUAGAUAAGUGGUUCGAUGUUGGUUUGAUUCUGGUUCGCUUUGUGGCGACUUGUGAAGAAAAUGGUGAAUAUAUGAUUCUUUGAUGUAAUCAUAACGUUUUGUGUUUUGAUCUCUCAAAUGAGGAAAUUAAUUAAUGUCGAGGCUAUAAAUCAUAUUGUACGUGAUACUUGUGGGGAUUGGUAACAAUUUUAACUUUUAUUUGUGGAAUGCACACAUUUUCAUGUGCUAUUUUUAUUUGUGGAAUGCACACAUUUUCAUGUGCUAUAUAUGUUGGAUUUUACGUAGAAUAUUGUUAUAUCUACUAGUCCAACUACAUACGUACCUUCGCCUUUGUACUCAUAAAUUAUCUUCAUAUUUAUUAGUUGUUUUAAAAUGAUAGAUUUUUUAAAUCCGCG
rnacentral:lncRNA from 1 species